UUCCUGCAUUUACCUAAGCUGAUCUGCUCUCCAUGCUUAGCCUGCUCACGGCUAUCGCCUUCUCGAUCACCGCCCGCCACAGGUCCAUUCACCCUAUGCAAUUCUCUUCCACGUUAAAAGGGGGGCUCCUGAGCAUCACGACUCAAGAGCUCUUACUGGCUCUCCAGCUGUCACCCCCUGGCAUACCAGCGACGAUUGAGCUCGCUCGAGGGCCGGGACCUGAGGAUGUAGAGUGCUUGCUUCUAACCGCCUUGCAGGGACAUACAGUCACCAAGACUCAAGACCAGGCGCAACUCGCCUUGAGGUAGGGCCUUGUGAGUCCCGCGCUAGCUCCCGGGUGCCCAGAUACACCUCACAGCCCUGCCAUGCAAGCCACAUAUCAGGGCGGGGUUGUACACGCCCCGGGGCUCCUCCCGGAGGGGGGCCCAUCCCAUGCUGCCACGCCCAAGUGGAAGCUCCAUGCUCCAUGCUGGCUGUCGACACUGCCGAGGAGCGGCUAUGCCCGUGCACAAGCGGAAGCACUAUGCUCCGUGCUGGUGAUAAACAACUGAGGGCGACCCCACGGUCGUACCAACCUCAGGGAGCCCAGAGCUCAGCGCAUAGCCUCACCAUGAUGCCUCCCCUCGGGAGAGUCACGCGAGGGGGCUGGGCAUGGGGGCUGCACUCGGGUCACGCCCAAGUGCACGCCACCCAACCAGGUCCCCCGGACCUAGGCGUCGCGCGCCACUCCCGAGGCCUCAGUGAGGGCAGGUAUGGAAAUUGUUUCAAUGUCAAGGGGGACUCCUGAGCAUCUCGACUCAGGAGCCUAACUGGUCACGUAGCCCCUCACUACUUGGUCUGUCCUGGUCUCCGGUCGGCCCAAUGGCGGUUGAGUUAUGCGCGGGGCCGGGCUCUGCCAACGUAGAACAUUAAUCUAUCCUCACGAACUCUCCAUAUAUGUUGUUCGUGCGUCAAGGGGGACUCCUGAGCAUCGCGACUCAGGAGCCUAACUGGUCACGUAACCCCUCACUCCUUGGACCGUCCUGGUCUCCAGUCGGCCCAAUGGCGGUUGAGGUAUGUGCGGGGCCGGGCUUUGCCGACGCAGAACAAAGCAAAUAGGAAGGAAAAUGCAAAAUCUCAAAGCAAAUAUUACAAGCAUAUUGUUUUCACAAUGCCAAAUGAAAAGUCUAAAUGCCUCCACGAGGCCUGAUACAUGUUGCAGGAAUGAAAUGGGAAGAAUAGCCUCAGGUCACCUCUAGACGUCGCCUGUGGAAGGCGCUCCCUCGCGAGCAGUUUUGUCUUCACCACCAGCCGCAAGAUCGACGAUGCCGGACAGAGGAGCGGAGACGAAGCCGCGGAACCUCCUCAGCAAGGCCCCCACCUGAUCCUGCAUGGCCGCGGCGGCCGCCUCGUAUUGAUCUUCAGCCACAGGCUCCAGCAGCUCGUCAAGACGAGCAUCGGGGUCGCAGAGGUGCAGAUGGCUGAAGACGUGAGUCAGUGCAGCUGAAGACAGGACGCGGGCUUCUGCCUCCACCAUGGGACCGAGGCCGUCAACGACCUCCUCAAGCGCCUCCACCACGAGAGGAAGUAGCUGGGCGGGCCGCCCUCGUCGGUGUCCAGCGGCUUCUCCAAGCCGUGCUCGUAGAGUGUCUUCAGCGCCGUGUGCGACCUCUUCUCGAGGUCAGCGAAGGCCACGUGGUCUUCAGCCAGGACUCGUGCCUUGGCAUCAAGAUCGGCCUCCCUUGUCCCCAUCUUCCGCUCCAACUCUUCCAACUGGUUGCGCUUGGCGGCCUGCUUCUUCCCUAGCUCUGCCAGCUCAGGAUCACGGUUCUUGACGGCUUCCUCCCGGGCCUUCAUCUCCUUCUCCUCUACUUGGCGGCGGCGUACCUCUUCGGCGUGCUUGUCGCGCAGGCUCUCCAACUCGCCCUCCAGCACUUGGCAUCGGUCACGGGCGGCCUUGGUGUCUUUCAGCGCUGCCUCACGAUCGGCUGCAGCGCCGGCGGCUCCUUGCUUCUCCUUCUCGGAAGCCACAGCAUCAUGGCCCAGCGCUGCGCCAACCGCCAGAUCGGAGUGAAGCCAGCCAGAGGCCAGCUCCAGACACCCGGCCACCAGGCGCGGGUCCGCGCUCCGAACAUCCGCCUGCAUCUAGGUCAUCUCCGAAAGGGCACGCUCCAAGAUGGAAGCCGGAGCAGAAGGACCAGGAAGUGGAGAUGCAGCAGUAGGAGGAAGCGACAUCAUCACCAGGGCUUGGGAGACCACGGGUUCCGGAGCAGCUAGGACCUCAUCAGCUACACUAGAGCCAGUGGGGCCAUGGGGGCUGACUCCACGCGGCGAUGCUCCUCUUGGCCCCAUGAGGACGACCGGGUUGGGGGGAUGCGGGCGCUGCUGCCUCCUUUCCUUGCUGAGGGGGGUACAGUUGCCGUAUCCUCCUUCCUCUUCUUCGCCAAAGAUGUCGGCCUGAUCAACCAGGGGCGAGCAUCAGGAAACAACGGGUCCAAACAAGGGCAACACGAAGCUUAAGACACUUACCGAUCCACUGCGAUGUAUUCCACCGACCGCUUGGGAAGCUUGAAGCCUGACAGCAUGGGGACCUAAGGAGCAGGCGUUCGGGUUCCGGCGGUGCCUGGCAGAGUAGAGACAGAACUGGAGCCCGCCUCGGGAAACGCCAGGACAGGGGAAACAUCGCGGGCCACCAGCGACGACCUACCCUUCGUCGGGAUGAGGGGUGGCUCUCUCUCCCCUUGGAAGGUGUCAGCCUCGGCAUCAUCAGGAAGGGCGCGAAGAAUCUCGGCCUUGCUCGGAGGGGAGGUCUCCCCCACCUCUUCCGGUGUCUCCUCCGAGUCCACCUCCUCUUCCCCCUCUCCGCGGGACUCGCCAGAAGACACCUCCACCGGUUUCUGCGCUGUAGGAGCUCCCGAAAACACCAGCGCCACCAGCUCGCGUGCAUCAAAAGUCAGCCUGGAGGCGACGAAUUCCUCCCGGUCCCUACGUUGGAACAGGGGAAUGAAGGCGCUAGGCGGGUACUCCUGGUUGUCUCCAACUAUGAGACGCAGGACGGCGUCCAGCUCAUCAUCAGGCAGGUCCCCCGGCCUCAGGCGGGCCUUGUUUUCCCCUCCUUCAAGAUCCCAGAAGGGGGGCGCACACGCUUGGAGUGGGGCAACCCGCAGUGUCAAGAACUCCCUCAGGAGCAUCGCUCCCAUUAUUUUGGCCGCCCUCGCAUUGCCCGGCUUCAUGUCAGUCAUCAUCUGCCCCAACACUGACGAUGCCCGCUCGGUGACAAGCUCUGCCCUGGGCCACUCCUAGCCUUGCAGGGGCGCCUCCAUCGGCAAGUCCAGGCGCGGAUGGGCGAGCUUGGCGUCCACCAUGACCCAUUUGGAUCAAAUGUUGUCAGCCCUCUUCCCGAUGCUCGAGAUCGAGUUGGCCUUGCCGGACGCAACGAAGUUGGCGCAUCCAGAGAUGUGACCCUCACUAACGCGGAGGAAGAAGAAAUGGCGCCGGAGCACCACGGACGACAUCACGCCUAGGUACACCUCAUAGUAGUAGGCAAAUAUGGAUAGGAGGAGGACAGAGUUGGGAUGGAGAUGCAACGCUUGCAGCCCAUAGUGGUCGAGGACUUCAUAAAAGAAAUUAGAGAAGGGAGGAACCAACCCGACGGCAACGCUGCUCAAAAAGAAGGGAAAGAAGGUGCUCCCCUCAGGCUCUGGCUCGUCGGAGGCAAGCCGGAGCUCCGUCUUCCCCCACUCGUUGCUCUCUCCCACCGUCAGCAGGCGCACGGAGGCUAGGCUCUUCUCCAUGACAGUGGGCGCCUCAAGAGCGGGCUCAUACCAAGCCGGAGCCAAGGAAGUCAUGACCUUGCGGGGUGCCAUGGGCGGCAGAAGCAGAGCAAGGGUGGAGCAGAUCUGGAGAUAGCGGCGGCGAAGAGAGAGAAAGCAGAUCUAGAGCGAGGCAAGGAAGAAGAAAUGAAGGCAAGUGUCGCCUGCGCCAGCCUUUUGUCAGGUCAAGCAGUUGCCGAGGCAACGUGGGGAAGCGGAGACGCCCACGUCCAAUCAACCGCCACGCGUCAACCGAGGCCGCAGGCUUUUGGGGCCCGCGGCGCUCCGCACUAGGCCCUUGGCUUCGCCGCGAAGCCAAGCCCGAGCGUGCCUUGGGCCCGAGGGCUACUGUCGGCAUUCUGGGAAUGGGGGUCCCCAGACUUGCCUGCCUGCGGCCCACGGCGUGGCCAAGCAGCAGGCCGUACGGCCCGUCUUCGUCAACAAGGCAUCCAAGACCCUCACGAGGGGCAAAGCCUCGCGAGGCGGACGAUGCAAGACCUCCUCCGGAGCGGCCUGGUCAGGCAGGCUCACGAGGAGCGGAGAUAUCAAGGCGGGGCAAACCUCACGAGGCUCUCGUGACAUGAGCCAUGACGAAUGGUGCCAGGCGGGUGCCAGGCGGGCGCCGAUGCGUGCAGCGUCCUCAUUUCCUCUUUGGUGCAAAGGAGGCAAGCGCAGGCGAGGAGCACCGAGGCCCCAGGCAAAGGUUGCCAUUUCGGUGCAACGAGACCAAGACCAGAAGGACGGCAAGACGGAGGUCAUCGUGGAGCCCAAGAUGGCGUCACCACCAGAGCUUUGCGCAGGCGAAGACCGCUUUUGUGAGGAUAGCUUGUACUAGCUGUCCCCCAUCAAAUUAGCCCGCCAUUGUUGGCUCCCUUCCCGCUCAAUAUUUGGGAAGAGGACCAGGGCCUAUAUAAGUAGAGCUAGCCACCAUAGUAGGGAUGAGAGACCUGAGAUCGAACCCUCACGCCACAAGUUCAUACGCACAAGAACACCUCAACUUUGGAGGAUGUUCUUCCCCUAUAAUUAUUCAUCAUCAGCCCAAGAGGCAAUCCACCACCACCACACUGGAGUAGGGUAUUACACCACAACAGUGGCCCGAACCAGUAUAAAUCUCGUGUCUUUAUGUGUUGUGAGUUCGUCGAGUUCGUUCGCAAGAUCUUAGCGAGCUAGGGCGUAGAUUGGUAGGAGGGAAGACUUCGCGCGCACCCUAGUGUUCGAACCAUAAGGGUUUGCUGGAACCCCACAUCCGACAAUAGCGACCUCGUGCGCGCGUGCGGCCGCAUGCUACUGAGCUCCAUGUAAUACUACAUGCGAAACGGCUGUGGGCGGCGCUUAAUUGGAGGAGGGGGACAGUGAUUUCAGUAGAAGGUGUCACGCCGUUGGUCGGGGCAUGUGGGAUGGGAAAGGAGGAGGAUGGUGUGGGUGGGGUGUGGAUUACUUGUCCAUAUCGAUGAGGCCGCACAGCAAGAAGAAGGGUCGGUGGCGACGAGGCCGCGCAGCAAGAACAAGGGUCGGCGGCAAGGAGGCCAUGCAGCAAGAAGAAGGGUCGCCGGCGAGGUGGCGGCGCUGCAAGAAGAAGGGUCGCCGACGGGGAGGCGAUGCUGCAAGAAGAAGGGUAGCCGGUGAGGAGGCAGCGCUGCAAGAAGAAGGAUGGCCGGCGAGGAGUGGCACUCUAAGAAGAAGGGUCAUCGGCGAGGAGGCUGAGCUGCCAGUAAGCAGCAGUGAAAAUUUGAACUUGGAAAGCAAGGAGGAACGGUGGAAAUGUGGCUUUUGGUGGGAGGGAGGAGGCGGGGAGAUAGUUAUUUCUGCGGUGCCAAAAAAAUUUCACUCGGUGCCGCGAGAAACUGGCGCGCAAGUGUGGUUCAAGCGGGAGCGGUGGAUUGUAGACGACGAAGCUUCCUGCGUAAGCCAGACAAGACGGUGUGCCAAGAUAUUUUAUAUCGCAUCCCACAUGAUUCUUUCUAGUAAACUAUUUGUGGCAUACCUGGAUUUUUCAUUAUGUUUUGAAAGACAAAAUGGUGUUACAGAGGGAAAGGACGGUGUUUGAAUUGCUAGAACAUUUACGUACAGUGAACAUGCAACUAGUACAUGAGUGUCGUGUUUAAAUUUGGAAUUAUUCCAGGUUCGUUUGCAUUUUUAUGCAUUAAUUGAGUGUCUGGGCAUUUAAUGUGCAUAAUUCAAAUUUGAACUACAAGCACAUGCUCCAGUGCACCAAAGUUUGUUGAAAAAUCACAUGUGUGUCUUUGGGUGAAUUUACAGGUCACAUGCAAGAAAUGGGAAUGAAAUUCAAACAUCUGGGCGUCGUGACUCGGACGGAAAGAUUGAGAAACUUGGUUUUUUAAUUCCUGUAAAUCCAAAACACGCCUGAAAAUCAUGAAACUUGGCAUGGUGUCAUGACAUGGCACCAACAUGCUGCGGAAAUUUUUUUAGCCGAAUUGGGACAAGCUUUGGUGUAAACUUGUUGCAAACCAGAGCUUCCCUCAAGAAGGCUCAUGGUUCCGAGAGGGUACGUGUCACCUUCAUGUGUGAAACGACAUACGUACAUUGCCUUCUCCCGACUUAAUUUUUUUACACAGGCAGAUUAGACCAAAUAGAAGUAUCAUGCUAAAUUUUGGAAUUAUUCCGUGUUCGUUUGGCCUUUUUAUACAUUAGUUGAGUUUCUGCGCAUUUAAUGUGCAUAAUUCAAAUUUGAACUACAAGCAUGCUCCAGUGCACCAAAGUUGGUUGAAAAAUCACAUGUGUGUCUUUGGGUGAAUUUCUAGGUCCCAUGCAAGAAAUGUGAAUGAAAUUCAAACAUCUGGGCGUCGUGGCUCGGCCGGAAAGAUUGAGAAACUUGGUUUUUAAUUCCUGUAAAUCCAAAACACGCCUGAAAAUCAUAAAACUUGGCAUGGUGUCAUGUAAUGGCACAAACUUUGGUGCAAGCUUCUUGCAAACCGGAGCUUCCCUCAAGAAAACUCGUGGUUCCGAGAGGGAACGUGUCACCUCCGUGUGUGAAACGACAUACGUACACUGCCUUCUCUCGUCUUAAUUUUUUACACGGACAGAUUAGACCAAAUAGAAGUAUCGUGAUAAAUUUUGCAAUUAUUCAGGGUUUGUUUGGCCUUUUUAUACAUUAAUUGAGUUUCUGGGCAUUUAAUGUGCAUAAUUGAAAUUUGAACUACAAGCACAUACUCCAGUGCACCAAAGUUGGUUGAAAAAUCACAUGCGUGUCCUUGGGUGAAUUUCUAGGUCCCAUGCAAGAAAUGGGAAUGAAAUUCAAACAUCUGGGCGUCGUGGCUUGGCCAGAAAGAUUGAGAAACUUGCUUUUUUUUAAUUCCUGUAAAUCCAAAACACGCCUGAAUCAUGAGACUUGGCAUGGUGUCAUGACAUGGCACCAACAUGCUGUGGUAAUUUUUCUAUCCGAUUUGUGAAGGCGCACACAUUAACAAUCAACAAAGUCAUUUUGAAACAAGUGUUUUCACGUUACAAAUCAGAAACACAAGUAUUAUUGAAAUCGUGGGCGUUCUACUUACCAAUUACGUUUCGCCACGCAUCCCCUUUUUUAUUGGCUAGGAGGUGUCGUGCGGGGUAGCUAUUUUAGUACGGGAGGCGUGCAAUCAGACCCCCAUGCGUGCUCAUUGGGAGGAGAGCCAUUUGACCUCUACCCACCGCGCACCUCCACUACUGCAGGAUGCUGCUAAUGCGAUUCUAUGAUCAGAGACCCUUCGAUAAACUGUGCGAUGCAAUAAUCACAAACGGUGUUGCAUGAAAACCAUCAGAAAUGAUGCAAAACGUUUGCGAUGAAUGAUACAUCAAACACGGUUCAAAUUAUAGUUGUAUGUGCUAUGAGGGGCAUACGGUUGAUCUAUGUGAACUGUUUGCGAUGAGACAGGAAAACAGAAACGGGCAGCUAGAUCAAGGUGUGUGCGAUAUACGGCAUACAGUUCACUCCGAUGAACCGUUUGCGAUGACUGAGGUGAACAAAAACGAUUCGGUGUAACAAGAUGUGUGUGAUACCCGGCAAACAGGUCGGUAAUUAGAAUUAUGUGCGAUCAUUAUAGACAGCCCAUACGGUCUUUUUUUGUGAAUUGUGUGCUCGUCGGGGCACACAGUUCAACAAACCAACCUGUUGGCGAUAAUGUAGAAGAUCUCUGUCGAAUACAUAUUACUAACCGUCUACGAUGAGAUUGACAGGAUAAACAGAGAUAUAUACAGUCUGCUUAAUUUAGUCAUUCUUCUUCUUGUUGUUCCUGUUGGAUGGCCCUGCGACAUCGUCUUGGCGAGGACGCUUCUUGCCGCUGACCGUUGGAUUUUCAUCGCCGCUGCCGUCGUCACCGUCAUUGAUGUCAUCGUCCUCCUCCUCCUCGUUCAACCAUUCCUCAUCAUCAUCGUCAUCGUCCUCUAAUGGCUCCUCGUCUGUCUGGUUGUUGUCUGACGACUCCAGAGGUGGCUUCCCUUCCAUGAACCGGAUAUAAUCGAGGUCUGGACUCAAUGCUGGACUCAUGGAAGAUGAGCAGGAUGAUUCCGAUGUUGACCUAUCAUCAGGCACCAGACUGCUGGCCAAACUAUCGUCCUUGCUAUCGCUUGACAUGGCUGCAGAGUGUGUGCCAGUGUGUAGCGCGGCCUGCUGGGGACGAUGAAGAUGGUGGACACUUAAGCGGGGUAUGCAGAGAAGAGGAACUGCCAACUGAAGUAGGGAUUGAAGCAGGGGUUGACGUAUUAUCUAACCGUUGAUAUUAUCAACUGCAAUUAUUUGUACCCAGUCGCUCGAAUUCCCGAGGUUGCGCAGGACUCCUAUUGGCCAUUUGGUUGGUUUCCUUUUUCAGGACAAAAACAAGGAACGAGUUUUGGGAUUAUGCACCAGUACCGAUACGAACGGAGUAGGACGGUUGGCAAGCAAUACAUUGAGAUCUUCUUAUUGAUAAAGCCAGUAAUAAUCAAACUAGAAAGGAAAAGAAAAAAGACAAAGAAAAAUAUCUGCAUGAAUCUUCGUGUAACAUCAAUGGCAUAGGACCUAGAUGUGCAUUACUUACAGCACAUCUAGAUGUGCUUUAGCAAUACUGUCAAACAAAACCCCUAAUCAUCAUUGCAAACAGCGCAUAGAACAUGGCUAAUGCGACAACCACAACUACACAUGCUAGUUCCUUCUUGUCUCUUUCUUUCAUCUGCUGCCUGUGAUUGGUUCUUUCUUGCUUCAUUGUACCGACUGUACAUUCCAGAUCGGCCAGUUUCUUCUUCAGCUUUACGUUAUCUUCUGCGAGCUUGGUGAUAACACUCCGAGCCCUCCCAUUCCAUUCUUCAUCCAACCAGUUAACAAAGGCACAAGCCUCAUAUCCCUGCCAAUGUUAAAUAGUAUUCUGGAUGACCGGUGGCAUUAACUGAAGUAAAAUGAUGAACUUAAUUAGCACUAACCUCUAAGGGGCAACUGAGAAACCGCCUGACAAUGUUGAAUCCCUCCGUGCAUACACGUCGAGCGGGAGUGUGCCCGUGCACACAACUCAGCUUUUGGUACUUCUCGGUGGCGCAAAACUUGGAGUCGAACUCGUGUUGCGGGAGUCUAGAGUCAAGCUCCGGAUCCGGCGGCAGAUCGCUUUCCUUGGGGGUGGGGGGUCAUUCAGGACGGAUUCAACAAGGAUCUAUACUUUGGACAUGCUAAAAAAGAUCGGCAUAUAUUGGAACCUGACAAGACGAUUCGGAUCCGCAGUACACCCGCCUUCUGAUGAACUUAGGCAAGUGCUCGGUAGCGAUACGAGCAGGAGCAGCCGCACCGAAACCAUCAGCACCACUCGUCCGCAUUCCCCCAAUGUCAGCGCCACGCGAGGGAAUUUGGAGGCUAUGUAGGGGUUUGGGGAAAAUGGGGAAACUGUGGAGAUAAGCUAAUGGUCGGGAACUACUAAUGACACUAUAUAUAUGUUGUAUAUGGCACACUGUUUGUACAUGUCGUCUGUGUUGGGUAUUACAACGUCACACACGAUUUCCGCACCAAACCGUGUGAGAAGACAACAUAGGUUAGACACGGUUGCCAUUACAUAACCGUAUGUGAUGUACUACCAUGUCCAUAUAAUUGAGUUAGGGUGAGAUACAAUGUAAACAGUCGCUCUGCAUUUAGAGAUGGUGGCGGCGGCCUACGCAGCGGCUGCCGGAGAAGAAUUCAAUCCUCGGUCAGUGAGCGGUGGUGGCGUCAUAGAAGAUCAAUCCUCGAUCUACGGCGGGAGAUAGGAGGAGCUCAACCAUCAAGGUCGGCGGCGGCGUGAUUCGAGCACAUCCAUCGCGGUCGAUGGCGGGAUAGUGGAGGUCGAACUUCAAGCGGCAUCCGCACUAAGCUUUGCUCCUCGACCCUGCUGUCUCAGCGUGCCGCCGCAUCGCGCUUGUCUGUCUGCUGGGUGGAGGUCGCCAUGCGGCUAAUUAAUUAAGGUAUUCUUUUCAUGAGUGGCUUAAUUAAGGUAUUCAAUUCCUAAGUGUAGUGUUGUACUAGUACUCUGCGUGUAAAUUGAGUGGCCAUUAACUUUUGUCAUUGCACAUCUGGAUAACAACAUGGAGCGCCCUCAGUAAUUAUUAAAAUAAAACCUUGUGAUUUAUGCACGCAUCUCUGGGCAGCAAUUAAUCUGUGUAUUAAUGUUUGUUUUGUUUUUAAUUACCAUUCGUGUGCUGCAAAUGGAACGAUCUCGAUGGAUGAAGAAUCGGAAAACCGUAGAUUUUAUCAGUGGCAUGACAGAGUUCAUGAAUUUGGCUUAAAGUACACAGAGGAGAAUUGGUGAUGCGGAUUACAUCCUGUGUCCAUGUACUGAUUGUGCCAAUACAGAGUCACAUGAAGUUGCAGAUGUCCAGAUGCACUUAGUCUCUAGAGGAUUCAUCGAUGGAUAUACACGUUGGACCAGACACGGUGAAGAGGAGGUCAUGGAUGAAGAUACCCAGGGCAGCGAGAUGCCAAACCCCAAUCAGUGUCACAUGGAUGUUGAAUCUAACAUCGGGGUAGAGGCGUCAAGCUACCAAUGGAACACCGGAAAUCCGAAAUGCCCAUUGGAAAACCAAGACGUCCAUGCGGAUGACGACGAUCUUGAUAUGCCAAAUUUUGCUGCUAUGAUUGCAGAUUUCGAGGGCCCAGAAAAGGAUAUGAUUGGUACAAGGAUCUGCCAACCAUUGAUGCGGACUCCAAGAAAGAAUUGUAUCCAGGUUGCAAAAAGAAAUAUUCCAGGUUGAGUGCCACCCUGGCGCUUCUCAGAUUUAAAGCAUCAAAUGUUCUAUCAAACAAGGGCUUCACAGAGAUCUUAGGUAUUUUCAAAGAUAUUCUUCCAGAAGAUAAUGUGCUCUCCAGAAGCACGAAUGAAGCGAAGAAAAUUGUUUGCCCACUGGAACUUGAGGUAUAGAAGAUACAUGCUUGUUUGAAUGAUUGUAUAUUGUACCGUGGUGAGUACAAAGAUUUCCAUGCAUGUCCCAUAUGCAAGCAUGCACGAUACAAGCGCAGGAGAGUGAAGGACAAGUACAAAUUGGAUGACAAGAUCAAGACAAGAAUCCCGUUCAAGGUUGUUUGGUACUUUCCUUUAAUUUCAAGGUUGAGGCAUUUGUUUGCAAACCCUAGAGAGGCAAAGAGGUUAUGGUGGCAUCAUGAUGAGCGAAUUGCGGAUAGUUUUAUGAGGCACCCGAAAGAUGGGGCUCAGUGGGAAUUAAUCGACAACAAGUUUGAAAAUUUUGCCAAGGAUCCUAGAAGUAUAAGGCUCGGGGAGUGUACUGACAGGAUGAAUCCUUUUGGCGAUAUGAGCACCAAUCACAACACAUGGCCGGUGCUUAUGUGCAUAUAUAACCUAGCUCCUUGGUUGUGUAUGAAGAAAAAUACAUUAUGAUGUCAAUGAUUAUCCAAGGCCCGAAGCAACCUGGAAUUGACAUCGACAUUUAUUUUCAGCUACUAGUAGAAGAACUGUUGACAGUGUGGACAGAUGUGCCUGCUGUAAAAUGUUAUGAUGCUUACAGAAAGGAUAUUUUCAAUCUACAUGCGAUGCUGGUGCACACCAUUCAAGAUAUGCCGGCAUUAGGCAACACAUCGGGGCAGAAAACAAAGGGAGAUGUAGGGUGUAUCACAUGCAUGGAUAGGACAGCUAGCAAAAGACUUCCCAACUCGCACAAAACAGUGUAUUUGCGUCAUCGUAGGUUCUUGCGGAUGAAUCACCCAUACCGAAAGAUGAAAGCUGAAUUUGAUGGUAUGACAGAGGCAUGUGUGGCCCCAAGACCCUAUGAUGGGGAGGUGGUCCACAACAUGGCUAAAUAAAUUAAUGUUGUGCUUGGCAAGAACCACCCUUUGACGGUGAAACUAACACCCAAGGAUCAAGUGUUUAAGAAGAAAUCGGUGUUCUGGAAAUUACCUUACUGGGAGAUUCUACGUGUAUGUCACUGCAUCGAUGCCAUGCACAUAGAGAAGAACGUAUGUGAAAGCAUCCCUGGUACUCUGCUCAAGAUUAAAGGUAAAAGAAAGGAUGGUGACGGUUCACGGCUCGAUAUGCUUGCUGAUCAAUCACAAUGCAAGAGUGAAGCAGAAGAUCAUGACAAAUUCAUCAAAGCUCGCCAGAGUUACAAUUUCAGUACAAAAGAAGCAACACAGUUCUUCACCUAUUUGUUGUCAGUUAAGACACCCUCUUCCUACUAUGCAAACAUCAGAAGUCUCGUGGAUGUGAGCUCAGGUAAAAUGAAGUUGGGACACAUGAAGUCACAUGAUUACCACGUAAUGUUGACACAAAUCCUACCUGUGGCCAUCAGGAAUCUGAUGGACAAACAUAUAAGAAACACACUCAUUGACCUCUGUGAUUUCUUCAACAAACUAUGGCAGAAAGUUGUAGAUCCUGAAGAGUUGGUUAAUAUGCAAGAUGAUAUUGCAAGAAUAUUGUCCAACCUAGAGAUGUUUUUCCCACCGUCAUUCUUUGAUGUCAUGGUCCAUCUCACUGUGCACCUUGUCGAAGAGAUAAAGUAUUGUGGUCCUGUUUUUCUUCGCAACAUGUAUCCCUUCGAGCGAUUCAUGGGAAUACUGAAGUGCUUUUGUCGGAACCGAAACCAUCCAGAGGCAAGCAUCCUACAAGGUUAUACCGCGGAGGAGGUGGUUGAGUUUUGCACUGAAUACAUGAAACAAAGACCUAUAGGUUUUCCCCUCUCUCACCACGAGGGAAGGCUGAAACGUAAGCCGGUCCUUGCUGGCACGCAAAUGGUUGCACCCAGAGAAUUGGCAGAGAAAGCCCAUUUGACGGUACUGCUUAACAACCCAGUUCUCAUCGCUUAUGCCGAAGAACACUUGGCAGAGAUACGCCAAAGCUUGUUACCAAUGGUGCCUUCAUCAGAAGUGGAGAUGAAGGAGCACACUAAGAAGUACGCCGAAUGGCUGAAGAAUCGUUUGGCACAAGGAUCCAUCUAUGACAUUGCUACGUGGUUGGCACAAAAGCCAUCACCUACGGUGUUGACGUACCAAGCAUGUGGCAUAAAUGGAUACGUGUUCUACACUGAGGAACUUGAUAAGAAGACCUCGUACCAGAAUAGCUCUGUUCGAAUAGAAUGCAUGACUGUAAAUGAAGCUGAUAAAAGGGUAUACUAUGGAACCAUCAAAGAGAUUUGGGAGCUUGACUAUGUGAAAGUUAAGGUGGCAUUAUUCAGGUGCGCAUGGAUCCCUCUUGGUUAGGUAAGGAUUGAUGAGUACAAGAAGACAUGUGUUAACAGGACAACUAUGGCAUAUCACACAGACCCAUUCAUUGUUGCCAGUGAUGCUACCCAGAUUUUCUUUGUGGAAGACCCCUUUCACAAGAACGGCCAUUUAGCGAUGCAUGGGAAGAGAAGGGUACUGGGUGUCGAUGAUGUUGCCGAUCAGGACGAGUACGAUGAAUUCGAUGAGUUGCCAACCAAGGGAUCGCGCACCAGUGCAACAGAGAAGCGUAAAAUCAUUAAAAAACCAAGUUCAUUCUGGGUCAACUUAAUGAUCCCAGUUCCCCCAUGUACAUGGGAAUUAAGCCGUAAGACUAGUCUUUAUGCCUACCCUACAACUUAAUUCAUUCAAUUUAGAACUGUCGUGUGUACUUAAUUUGUGAGUUAUGCCCGGUUUUUUGUUGAUGUAAGAACAAUUAAUAUGUUGACCUUGAUAUGCUGUCAGCUCAGGCAAUGAAUAUAAAAUGUUUUUUGUUAUUAUUAUUAUUAUUAUAUCAUAGAGGUAGCACACUCAAUCGAUCUCACUACAGUAUGUGUGAACAAAAAUAUGCAAUAUGGUUUGCGAAUAGCACACGGUUCGUUGAUGAAAGCCGUCUGUUGACCAAACCCCGCCACCCCGCCCAUGAUCUGAGUCGUGCUUUCUGAUUGGCCAGAACCCAAACCCCACAGAUCAUAUGUGUGCACCAUUGGAUGCUCCCAGAUCGAACAGCGAUCCUCAUCCCUUUCGACAGCACAUGCAGUUCUGGUUGUAAUUUAUUUUUAUGCACAAAAUGCACGUUAAUCUCAAAAAAUGUCUUAAAUAUAGCUAACGAUGCCUGAAAUGCGCCAGAAAAUCAAACCCAUGGUCUAAUGGUGAUUGCGUACCGUGGAAAUUUUUAUGAGGCCAAACGAUGAAGUCACCAGCCACGGGAGUUUGAAUUGACACGUCUCCUUUUGCAAAACCAUGAUCCUUCAUGUGAGAUGCUCCGGUUUGAAAGGAGCGGUCAUCAAACCUUGUGGAAAACUUUACCAAUUUUUUUCACGGGGUCGUGAGAGCAUGCCACAGGCACACAUCGAUUUUGAUGAUGUCCGAACUCCAUCUGAAUUUUCUGUAAUUAAAAUAUCAACUAGGCCUAUGCUAGUGGCCGCACCUCGCGGCCGAAAUGUUUGAAACUUCUCCCCACUUCUCGAACAAACGGAUGAAAACUCACAAAGCGACGCACAAAUGAUCUGUAAACCUUUGCUAGGCUGAUAGUAAGGGGGUAUCAUAGCUAGUAUCAUGCAUGCCAACUAGGCAAUUUUGAUGAGUUGUCAUAGAAUUAAUUAAAUGAAGAAAGAGAGGGUUAAGUAUCAUAUCAUGAAACCAUAUCAUAAUAAAUGUUAUGCUACUAUGUGUCAUGCAUGACAAUAUAAAUAAAGUACUACAUAUGAUACUACUUAGAGCAAGUAAGUACACAAUAGAGUGACAUAAGACUAGCGACAAUGGGUAGUAACAUAGAAUGCUACUAGUCUAUGUUACUACCUCUAUAGUGGGGAGUAACAUAUGUGUAGUAACAUGCAACACUUCAUUUAUUAGGCUAUAGACUCAUCUUCCUUGAGAUGUGUGAUGUUACUCAGACUAGCCACAAUGGGUAGUAACAUAGACUAGUAAGAUGCCCAUGUGUUACUAGUCUAUGUUACCACCUCUAUAGUGGGGAGUAACAUAUAUGUGUGGUAACAUGCAACACUUCAUUUAUUAGGCUAUAGACACAUCUUGCCUUGAUAUGUACAUGUGAUGUUACUCAUACUACUAGUAACUAGCUAUGUUACUACUUUCCUCUCUUUCUUCAUUUAUUGCUUGCCACAUCAUCUACUUAAUUUAUCUAGAUAUGUGUGAUGUUACUACCUAUGUUACUCCCAUUGUGGGUAGUCUCAUACUAUAGUAAGACUAUACCCACAGUGGGAGUAAUAUAGGUAGUAACAUCACACAUAUCCACUUUUCUCCAUUUCUUCAUGUAUUGCUUGCCACAUCAACUAUUUUAUCUAGAUAUGUGUGAUGUUACUACCUAUGUUACUCCCACUGUGGGUAGUCUGGUUAUAAGGAAUAGAAUAAUAUAUAUGUGCUUAUUAGUUGGAGGAAAGAAAAGAGAAGCAUGCUCUGGGUUAGUAGAGUCAGCUGCAACACAAGACCCAAGACACUUUGUGGGGAUGUAAGGUGGGCCAACUAUUGAUAAACUAGUAUGUAUAUAAAAAUUAUUAUUGUACAUGCCCGCUAAGAGAUUGGCUGUAUAUGACAUGUCAACUUCUUAUAGCCGACCCUGGGCUGUAUUAUUAACCAUGCAUGCUCUUAGUGAGGUAGCUAGUAUAUCAUAAAAGACUAACUAGUUUCAGACUAGCCAUAGUGGGAGUAACUUCAGCAUUAACACUAACACCUCAGCAAACUUGCUUAUGUGGCAAUAAGUUAAUGAGGAGAGAGAUAGUUUUAGUAACUUAGCUAGUUACUGCAGCAUCACAUGUCCCAAUGCAAUAUGAGUCUGUAACCUAAGAAAUGAAGCUUUGCAUGACACCACACUUAUGUUACUACCCACUAUGAAGGUCGUAAAAUAUAUAGUUGUCGGUGUACAAAAGUAGGGGCUCUCCUUUGUACCCCUUUACUUGUGCACGGGCAGUCAGAGUUGCGCCCGCGUCCUCACUGAGCAGGGCAGAGGAGGGAAGCCGAAGCACAAGGCAACCGAAGCAAAGCCAAGGCCAGAGGAACAGAGAACAAGAGGGUGAGGUGGACUCCCCCAACAAGACCUGUUGGGGAACGUAGUAAUUUCAAAAAAAUUCCUACGCACACGCAAGAUCAUGGUGAUGCAUAGCAACGAGAGGGGAGAGUGUUAUCUAUGUACCCUCAUAGACCGAAAGCGGAAGCGUUAGCACACCGCGGUUGAUGUAGUCGUACGUCUUCACGAUCCGACCGAUCAAGUACCGAACGCACGACACCUCCGAGUUCAGCACACGUUCAGCCCGAUGACGUCCCUCAAACUCCGAUACAGCCGAGUGUUGAGGGAGAGUUUCGUCAGCACGACGGCGUGGUGACAAUGAUGAUGUUCUACCGACGCAGGGCUUCGCCUAAGCACCGCUAUAGUAUUAUCGAGCUGGACUAUGGUGGAGGGGGGCACCGCACACAGCUAAAAGAUCAAAUCAAUUGCCGUGUCUCUAGGGUGCCCCCUGCCCCCGUAUAUAAAGGAGCAAGGGGGAGGUGCGGCCGGCUAGGAGGAGGCGCGCCAGGAGGAGUCCUACUCCCACCGGGAGUAGGACUCCCUCCCUUCCUUGUUGGAUUAGGAGAAGGGGGGAAAGAGGAGGGAGAGAGGAAGGAAAGGGGAGUGCCCCCCUCUCCUUGUCCUAUUCAGACUAGAGAGGGAGGGGCACGCGGCCCUGCCCUAGCCGCCUCUCCUCUUCUCCACUAGGGCCCACUAUGGCCCAUUAAGCCCCCGGGGGGUUCCGGUAACCCCUCGGUACUCCGGUAAAAUCCCGAUUUCACCCGGGACACUUCCGAUAUCCAAAUAUAGGCUUCCAAUAUAUCAAUCUUCAUGUCUCGACCAUUUCGAGACUCCUCGUCAUGUCCGUGAUCACAUCCGGGACAACCUUUGGUACAUCAAAACUCAUAAACUCAUAAUAUAACUGUCAUCGAAACUUUAAGCAUGCAGACCCUGCGGAUUCGAGAACUAUGUAGACAUGACCAAGACAUGUCUCCGGUUAAUAACCAAUAGCGGAACCUGGAUGCUCAUAUUGGCUCCCACAUAUUCUACGAAGAUCUAUAUCGGUCAGACCGCAUAACAACAUACGGUGUUCCCUUUGUCAUCGGUAUGUUACUUGCCCGAGAUUCGAUCGUCGGUAUCUCAAUACCUAGUUCAAUCUCGUUACCGGCAAGUCUCUUUACUCGUUCUGUAAUACAUCAUCCCGCAACUAAAUCAUUAGUUGCAAUGCUUUUAUGGCUUAAGUGAUGUGCAUUACCGAGUGGGCCCAGAGAUACCUCUCCGACCAUCGGAGUGACAAAUCCUAAUCUCAAAAUACACCAACCCAACAAGUACCUUCGGAGACACCUGUAGAGCACCUUCAUAAUCACCCAGUUACGUUGUGAAGUUUGGUAGCACACAAAGUGUUCCUCCGGUAAACGGGAGUUGCAUAAUCUCAUAGUCAUAGGAACAUGUAUAAGUCAUGAAGAAAGCAAUAGAAACAUACUAAACAAUCGAGUGCUAAGCUAACGGAAUGGCUCAAGUCAAUCACAUCAUUCUCCUAAUGAUGUGAUCCCGUUAAUCAAAUGACAACUCAUGUCAAUGGCUAGGAAACAUAACCAUCUUCGAUCAACGAGCUAGUCAAGUAGAGGCAUACUAGUGACACUCUGUUUGUGUAUGUAUUCACACAAGUAUUAUGUUUUCAGUUAAUACAAUUCUAGCAUGAAUAAUAAACAUUUAUCAUGAUAUAAGGAAAUAAAUAAUAACUUUAUUCUUGCCUCUAGGGCAUAUUUCCUUCAGUCUCCCACUUGCACUAGAGUCAAUAAUCUAGAUUACACAGUAAUGAUACUAACACCCAUGGAGUCUUGGUGCUGAUCAUGUUUUGCUCGUGGAAGAGGCUUAGUCAACGGGUCUGCAACAUUCAGAUCCGUAUGUAUCUUGCAAAUUUCUAUGUCUCCCACUUGGACUAGAUCCCGGAUGGAAUUGAAGCGUGUCUUGAUAUGCUUGGUUCUCUUGUGAAAUCUGGAUUCCUUCACCAAGGCAAUUGCACCAGUAUUGUCACAAAAGAUUUUCAUUGGACCCGAUGCACUAGGUAUGACACCUAGAUCGGAUAUGAACUCCUUCAUCCAGACUCCUUCAUUUGCUGCUUCUGAAGCAGCUAUGUACUCCACUUCACACGUAGAUCCCACCACAACGCUUUGUUUAGAACUGCACCAACUGAUAGCUCCACCGUUCAAUGUAAACACGUAUCCGGUUUGCGAUUUAGAAUCAUCCGAAUCAGCGUCAAAGCUUGCAUCAACGUAACCAUUUAAAGUGAGCUCUUUGUCACCUCCAUAAACGAGAAACAUAUCCUUAGUCCUUUUCAGGUAUUUCAGGAUGUUCUUGACCGCUGUCCAGUGAUCCACUCCUAAAUUACUUUGGUACCUCCCUGCUAGACUUAUAGCAAGGCACACAUCAGGUCUGGUACACAACGUUGCAUACAUGAUAGAGCCUAUGGCUGAAGCAUAGGGAACAUAUUUCAUCUUCUCUCUAUCUUCUGCAGUGGUCGGGCAUUGAGUCUUACUCAACUUCACACCUUGUAACACAGGCAAGAACCCUUUCUUUGCUUGAUCCAUUUUGAACUUUUUCAAAACUUUGUCAAGGUAUGUGCUUUGUGUAAGUCCAAUUAAGAAUCUUGAUCUAUCUCAAUAGAUCUUGAUGCCCAAUAUAUAAGCAGCUUCAGCGAGGUCUUUCAUUGAAAACUCUUAUUCAUGUAUCCCUUUAUGCUAUCCAGAAAUUCUAUAUCAUUUCCAAUCAACAAUAUGUCAUCCACAUAUAAUAUCAAAAAUGCUACAGAGCUCCCACUCACUUUCUUGUAAAUACAGGCUUCUCCAAAAGUCUGUAUAAAACCAAAUGCUUUGAUCACACUAUCAAAGCGUUUAUUCCAACUCCGAGAGGCUUGCACCAGUCCAUAAAUGGAUUGCUGGAGCUUGCACACUUUGUUAGCUCCUUUUGGAUCGACAAAACAUUCUGGUUGCGUCAUAUACAACUCUUCUUCCAAAAAUCCAUUCAGGAAUGCAGUCUUGACAUACAUUUGCCAAAUUUCAUAAUCAUAAAAUGCGGCAAUUGCUAACAUGAUUCGGACAGACUUAAGCAUCGCUACGGGUGAGAAAGUCUCAUCGUAGUCAAUCCCUUGAACUUGUCAAAAACCUUUCGCAACAAGUCGAGCUUUAUAGACAGUAACAUUACUGUCAGCGUCAGUCUUCUUCUUGAAGAUCCAUUUAUUCUCAAUGGCUUGCCGAUCAACGGGAAAGUCAACCAAAGUCCAUACUUUGUUCUCAUACAUGGAUCCCAUCUUAGAUUUCAUGGCCUCGAGCCAUUUCGCGGAAUCUGGGCUCACCAUCGCUUCUGCAUAGUUCGUAGGUUCAUCAUGGUCUAGUAACAUAACCUCUAGAACAGGAUUACAGUACUACUCUGGUGUGGAUCUUACUCUGGUUGACCUACGAGGUUUAGUAACAACUUGAUCUGAAGUUUCAUGAUCAUCAUCAUUAACUUCCUCACUAAUUGGUAUAGACGUCACAGGAACCGAUUUCUGUGAUGAACUAAUUUCCAAUAAGGGAGCAGGUACGGUUACCUCAUCAAGUUCUACUUUCCUCCCACUCAAUUCUUUCGAGAGAAACUCCUUCUCUAGAAAGGAUCCAUUCAUAGCAACGAAUGUCUUGCCUUCGGAUCUGUGAUAGACGGUGUACCCAACAGUCUCCUUUGGGUAUCCUAUGAAGACACAUUUCUCCGAUUUGGGCUCGAGCUUAUCAGGUUGAAGCUUUUUCACAUAAGCAUCGCGGCCCCAAACUUUAAGAAAUGACAACUUUGGUUUCUUGCCAAACCACAGUUCAUAAGGCGUUGUCUCAACGGAUUUCAAUGGUGCCCUAUUUAACCUGAAUGCAGUCGUCUCUAAAGCAUAACCCCAAAAUGAUAGUGGUAAAUCAGUAAGAGACAUCAUAGACCACACCAUAUCUAGUAAAGUACGAUUACGACGUUCAGACACACCAUUACGCUGUGGUGUUCCAGGUGGCAUGAGUUGCGAAACUAUUCCGCAUUGUUUCAAAUGUAGACCAAACUCGUAACUCAGAUAUUCUCCUCCACGAUCAGAUCGUAGAAACUUUAUUUUCUUGUUACGAUGAUUUUCAACUUCACUCUGAAAUUCUUUGAACUUUUCAAAUGUUUCAGACUUAUGUUUCAUUAAGUAGAUAUACCCAUAUCUGCUUAAAUCAUCUGUGAAGGUGCGAAAAUAACGAUAUCCGCCACAAGCCUCAACAUUCAUCGGACCACAUACAUCUGUAUGUAUGAUUUCCAACAAAUCUGUUGCUCGCUCCAUAGUUCCGGAGAACGGCAUUUUUGUCAUCUUGCCCAUGAGGCAUGGUUCGCAAGUACCAAGUGAUUCAUAAUCAAGUGAUUCCAAAAGUCCAUCAGUAUGGAGUUUCUUCAUGCGCUUUACACCAGUAUGACCCAAAAAGUAGUGCCACAAAUAAGUUGCACUAUCAUUAUCAACUCUGCAUCUUUUGGCUUCAACGUUAUGAAUAUGCGUAUCACUACUAUCGAGAUUCAUCAAAAAUAGACCACUCUUCAAGGGUGCAUGACCAUAAAAGAUAUUACUCAUAUAAAUAGAACAACCAUUAUUCUCUGAUUUAAAUGAAUAACCGUCUCGCAUCAAACAAGAUCCAGAUAUAAUGUUCAUGCUCAACACUAGCACCAAAUAACAAUUAUUUAGGUCUAAUACUAAUCCCGAAGGUAGAUGUAGAGGUAGCGUGCCGACGGCGAUCACAUCGACUUUGGAACCGUUUCCCACGCGCAUCGUCACCUCGUCCUUGGCCAGUGUUCGCUUAAUCUGUAGUCCCUGUUUUGAGUUGCAAAUAUUAGCAACAGAACCAGUAUCAAAUACCCAGGUGCUACUGCGAGCUCUGGUAAGGUACACAUCAAUAACAUGUAUAUCACAUAUACCUUUGUUCACCUUGCCAUCCUUCUUAUCCGCCAAAUACUUGGGGCAGUUCCACUUCCAGUGACCAGUCUGCUUGCAGUAGAAGCACUCGGUCUCAGGCUUAGGUCCUGACUUGGGUUUCUUCUCUUGAGCAGCAACUUGCUUGCUGUUCUUCUUGAAGUUCCCCUUCUUCUUCCAUUUGCCCUUUUUCUUGAAACUGAUGGUCUUAUUGACCAUCAACACUUGAUGCUCCUUCUUGAUUUCUACCUCCGCUACUUUUAGCAUUGCGAAGAGCUCGGGAAUCGUCUUAUCCAUCCCUUGAAUGUUAUAGUUCAUCACGAAGCUCUUGUAGCUUGGUGGCAGUGAUUGAAGAAUUCCGUCAAUGACGCUAUCAUCCUGAAGAUUAACUCCCAGUUGAAUCAAGUGAUUGCAGUACCCAGACAUUCUGAGUAUAUGCUCACUGAUAGAACUACCCUCCUCCAUCUUACAGCCGUAGGACUUAUUGGAGACUUCAUAUCUCUCAAUCCGGGCAUUUGCUUGAAAUAGUAACUUCAACUCCUGGAACAUCUCACAUGCUCCAUGACGUUCAAAAACGUCGUUGAAGUCCCGGUUCUAAGCCGUAAAGCAUGGCACACUGAACUAUCGAGUAGUCAUCAACACGCGACUGCCAGGCAUUCACAAUGUGUGCAGUUGCGGGUGCAGGUGGUACACCUAGCGGUGCUUCCAGGACGUAAUUCUUCUGUGCAGCAAUGAGGAUAAUCCUCAAGUUACGGACCCAGUCCAUGUAAUUGCUACCAUCAUCUUUCAACUUUGCUUUCUCAAGGAACGCAUUAAAAUUCAACGGAACAACAACAGGGCCAUCUAUCAACAAUCAACAUAGACAAGCAAGAUACUAGCAGGUACUAAGUUCAUGAUAAAUUUAAGUUCAAUUAAUCAUAUUACUUAAGAACUCCCACUUAGAUAGACAUCUCUCUAAUCUUCUAAGUGAUCACGUGAUCCAUAUCAACUAAACCAUAACCGAUCAUCACGUGAAAUGGAGUAGCUUUCAAUGGUGAACAUCACUAUGUUGAUCAUAUCUACUAUAUGAUUCACGCUCGACCUUUCGGUCUUAGUGUUCCGAGGCCAUAUCUGCAUAUGCUAGGCUCGUCAAGUUUAACCUGUGUAUUCUGUGUGUGCAAAAACUGGCUUGCACCCAUUGUAGAUGGACGUAGAGCUUAUCACACCCGAUCAUCACGUGGUGUCUGGGCACGACAAACUUUGGCAACGGUGCAUACUCAGGGAGAACACUUUUAUCUUGAAAUUUAGUGAGAGAUCAUCUUAUAAUGCUACCGUCAAUCAAAGCAAGAUAAGAUGCAUAAAAGAUAAACAUCACAUGCAACCAAUAUAAGUGAUAUGAUAUGGCCAUCAUCAUCUUGUGCUUGCGAUCUCCAUCUCCGAAGCACUGUCAUGAUCACCAUAGUCACCGGCGCGACACCUUGAUCUUCAUCGUAACAUCGUUGUCGUCUCGCCAAUCUUAUGCUUCUACGACUAUCGCUACCGCUUAGUGAUAAAGUAAAGCAUUACAGGGCGAUUGCAUUGCAUACAAUAAAGCAACAACCAUAUGGCUCCUGCCAGUUGCCGAUAACUCCGUUACAAAACAUGAUCAUCUCAUACAAUAAAAUUUAGCAUCAUGCUUUGACCAUAUCACAUCACAACAUGCCCUGCAAAAACAAGUUAGACGUCCUCUACUUUGUUGUUGCAAGUUUUACGUGGCUGCUAUAGGCUGAGCAAGAACCGUUCUUACCUACGCAUCAAAACCACAACGAUAGUUUGUCAAGUUGGUGUUGUUUUAACCUUUGCAAGGACCGAGCGUAGCUACACUCCGUUCAACUAAAGUUGGACAAAUUGACACCCGCCAGCCACCUGUGUGCAAAGCACGUCGGUAGAACCAGUCUCGCAUAAGCGUACGCGUAAUGUCGGUCCAGACCGCUUCAUCCAACAAUACCGUCGAACCAAAGUAUGACAUGCUGGUAAGCAGUAUGACUUAUAUCGCCCACAACUCACUUGUGUUCUACUCGUGCAUAUGACAUCUACGCAUAAAACCAGGCUCGGAUGCCAUUGUUGGGGAACGUAGUAAUUUCAAAAAAGAAAUCCUACGCACAUGCAAGAUCAUGGUGAUGCAUAGCAACAAUAGGGGAGAGUGGUGUCUACGUACCCUCGUAGACUAAAAGCGGAAGCAUUAGCACAACGCGGUUGAUGUAGUCGUAUGUCUUCAUGAUCCGACCAAUCAAGUACCGAACGCAUGGCACCUCCGAGUUCAGCACACGUUCAGCUCGAUGACGUCCCUCGAACUCCGAUCCAGCCGAGUGUUGAGGGAGAGUUUCGUCAGCACGACGGCGUGGUAACAAUGAUGAUGUUCUACCGAUGCAGGGCUUCGCCUAAGCACCGCUACAGUAUUAUCGAGGUGGACUAUGGUGGAGGGGGGCACCGCACACAGCUAAAAGAUCAAAUCAAUUGUUGUGUCUCUAGGGUGCCCCCCUGCCCCGUAUAUAAAGGAGCAAGGGGGGAGGUGCGGCCAGCUAGGAGGAGGCGCGCCAGGAGGAGUCCUACUGCCACCGGGAGUAGGACUCCCUCCCUUCCUUGUUGGAUUAGGAGAAGGGGGAAAGAGGAGGGAGAGAGGAAGGGAAGGGGGGCGCUGCCCCCCUCUCCUUGUCCUAUUCGGACUAGAGGUGGAGGGGCGCACGGCCCUGCCCUAGCCGCCUCUCCUCUUCUCCACUAAGGCCCACUAUGGCCCAUUAAGCCCCCGGGGGGUUCCGGCAACCCCUCGGUACUCCGGUAAAAUCCCGAUUUCACCCGGAACACUUCCGAUACCCAAAUAUAGGCUUCCAAUAUAUCAAUCUUCAUGUCUCGACCAUUUCGAGACUCCUCAUCAUGUCCAUGAUCACAUCCGGGACUCCGAACAACCUUCGGUACAUCAAAACUCAUAAUAUAACUGUCAUCGUAACUUUAAGCGUGCGGACCCUACGGAUUCGAGAACUAUGUAGACAUGACCGAGACACGUCUCCGAUGAAUAACCAAUAGCGGAACCUGGAUGCUCAUAUUGGCUCCCACAUAUUCUACGAAGAUCUAUAUCGGUGAGACCGCAUAACGACAUAUGUUGUUCCCUUUGUCAUCGGUAUGUUAUUUGCCCGAGAUUCGAUCGUCGGUAUCUCAAUACCUAGUUCAAUCUCGUUACCGGCAAGUCUCUUUACUCGAUCCGUAAUACAUCAUCCCGCAACUAUCAAUGCUUGCAAGGCUUAAGUGAUGUGCAUUACCGACUAGGCCCAGAGAUACCUCUCCCACGAUCGGAGUGACAAAUCCUAAUCUCGAAAUACGCCAACCCAACAAGUACCAUCAGAGACACCUGUAGAGCACCUUGCUACCUCUUGAGCACUGCGUUGGUUUUCCCCGAAGAGGAAGGGAUGAUGCAGCAAAGUAGCGUAAUUAUUUCCCUCAAUUUUUGAGAACCAAGGUAUCAAUCUAGUAGGAGGCUACGCGCGAGUCCCUCGUACCUACACAAAACAAAUAAAUCCUCGCAACCAAUGCAAAUAGGGGUUGGCAAUCCCUACUCGGCCACUUACGAGAGUGAGAUCUGAUAGAUAUGAUAAGAUAUUAUUUUUGGUAUUUUUAUGAUAAAGAUGCAAAGUAAAAUAAAAGCAAAGUAAAAGCAAAAGGAAAUAACUAAGUAUUGGUAGAUUAAUAUGAUGAAGACAGACCCAGGGGCCAUAGGUUUCACUAGUGGCUUCUCUCGAGAGCAUGAGAAUUCUACGGUGGGUGAACAAAUUACUGUUGAGCAAUUGACAGAAUUGAGAAUAGUUAUGAGAAUAUCUAGGUAUGAUCAUGUAUAUAGGCAUCACGUCCGAGACAAGUAGACCGACUCCUGCCUGCAUCUACUACUAUUACUCCACUCAUCGACCGCUAUCCAGCAUGCAUCUAGAGUAUUAAGUUAAUGAAAACAGAGUAACGCCUUAAUCAAGAUGACAUGAUGUAGAGGGAUAAACUCAUGCAAUAUGAUGAAAACCCCAUCUUGUUAUCCUCGAUGGCAAUAAUACAAUACGUGCCUUGCUGCCCCUACUGUCACUGGGAAAGGACACCGCAAGAUUGAACCCAAAGCUAAGCACUUCUCCCAUUGCAACAAAGAUCAAUCUAGUAGGCCAAACCAAACUGAUAAUUCGAAGAGACUUGCAAAGAUAACCAAUCAUACAUAAAAGAAUUCAGAGAAGAUUCAAAUAUUGUUCAUAGAUAGACUUGAUCAUAAACCCACAAUUCAUCGAUCUCAACAAACACACCACAAAAAGAAGAUUACAUCGAAUAGAUCUCCACAAGAGAGGGGGAGAACUUUGUAUUGAGAUCCAAAAAGAUAGAAGAAGCCAUCUAGCUAAUAACUAUGGACCCGUAGGUCUGAAGUAAACUACUCACACUUCAUCGGGGGGGCUAUGGUGUUGAUGUAGAAGCCCUCCAUGAUUGAUGCCCCCUCCGGCAGAGCUCCGAAACAGGCCCCAAGAUGGGAUCUCGUGGAUACAGUAAGUUGCGGCGGUGGAAUUAGGGUUUUGGCUCCGUAUCUGAUCGUUUGGGGUACGUAGGUUCAUAUAGGAGGAAGGAGUACGUCGGUGGAGCAACAGGGGGCCCACGAGGGUGGAGGGCGCGCCUGGUGGGGGUAGGCGCGCCCCCCUACCUCAUGGAUUCCUCUUUUGUGUCUUGAUGUAGGGUCCAAGUCUCCUGGGUCUUGUUCGUUGAGAAAAUCACGUUCCCAACGGUUUCAUUCCGUUUGGACUCUGUUUGAUAUUCCUUUUCUUCGAAACCCUAAAACAGGCAAAAACCAGCAAUUCUAGGUUGGGCCUCGGGUUAAUAGGUUAGUCCCAAAAAUAAUAUAAAAGUGGAUAAUAAAGCCCAAUAAUGUCCAAAACAAUAGAUAAUAUAGCAUGGAGCAAUCAAAAAUUAUAGAUACAUUGGAGACGUAUCAAGCAUCCCCAAGCUUAAUUCCUGCUCGUCCUCGAGUAGGUAAAUGAUAAAAACAAAUUUUUUGAUGCGGAGUGCUACUUGGCAUAAUUUUAAUGUAAUUCUUCUUAAUUGUGGCAUGAAUAUUCAGAUCCGAAAGAUUCAAGACAAAAGUUCAUAUUGACAUAAAAAUAAUAAUACUUCAAGCAUACUAACAAAGCGAUUAUGUCUUCUCAAAAUAACAUGGCCAAAGAAAGUUCAUCCCUACAAAAUCAUAUAGUUUAGUCAUGCUUCAUUUUCGUCACACAAGAAUGCUCUCAUCAUGCACAACCCCGAUGACAAGCCAAGCAAUUGUUUCAUACUUUAGUAAUCUCAAACCUAUAAAAUUUCACGCAAUAUAUGAGCGCGAGCCAUGGACAUAGCAUAAUGGGUGGAAUAGAAUAUAAUGAGGGGGGUUAUGUGGAGAAGACAAAAAAAGAGGAAGUCUCACAUCAACGAGGCUAAUCAAUGGGCUAUGGAGAUUCCCACAGAUUGAUGUUAAUGCAAGGAGUAGGGAUUGCCAUGCAACGGAUGCACUAUAGCUAUAAAUGUAUGAAAGCUCAACAAAAGAAACUAAGUGGGUGUGCAUCCAACUUGCUUGCUCACGAAGACCUAGGGCACUUGAGGAGGACCAUUGUUGGAAUAUACAAGCCAAGUUCUAUAAUGAAAAUUCCCACUAGUACAUGAAAGUGACAAAACAAGAGACUCUCUAUCAUGAAGAUUACGGUGUUACUUUGAAGCACAAGUGUGGAAAGGAUAGCAACAUUGUCCCUUCUCUCUUUUUCUCUCAUUUUUUUCUUUUUUUGGGCCUUCUCUUUUUUUAUAUGGCCUUUCUCUUUUUUAUGGCCUUUCUCUUUCUUUUUUUAUUUAUUCCUCACUUGGUACAAUGCUCUAGAAAAUGAUGAUCAUCACACUUGUAUUUAUUUACAUCUCAAUGAUUACACCUCGAUGCUAGAACAAAAGAUGACUCUAUAUGAAUGCCUCCGGAGGUGUACCGGGAUAUGCAAUGGACCAAGAGUGACAUGUAUGAAAUAAUUAUGAACGGUGGCUUUGCCACAAAUACUAUGUCAACUACAUGAUCAUGCUAAGCAAUAUGACAAUAAUGAAUGUGUCAUGAUGAACGGAAUGGUGGAAAGUUGCAUGGCAAUAUAUCUCGGAAUGGCUAUGGAAAUGCCGUAAUAGGUAGGUAUGGUGGCUAUUUUGAGGAAGAUAUAAGGAGCUUUAUGUGUGAAAGAUCGUAUUAUAUCACGGGGUUUGGAUGCACCGGCAAAGUUUGCGCCAACUCUCAAUGUGAGAAAGGACAAUGCACGGUACCGAAGAGGCUAGCAAGGAUGGAAGGGUAAGAGUGCAUAUAAUCCAUGGACUCAACAUUAGUCAUAAAGAACUCACAUACUUAUUGCAAAAAUCUACAAGUCAUCAAAAACCUCGGCACUACGCGCAUGCUCCUAGGGGGAUAGAUUGGUAGGAAAAUACCAUCGCUCGUCCCCGACCGCCACUCAUAAGGAGGACAAUCAAAUAACACCUCAUGUUUCAAAUUUGUUACAUAACUUUACCAUACGUGCAUGCUACGGGAGUUGCAAACUUCAACACAAGCAUUUCUCAAUUUCACAACUACUCAACUAGCAUGACUUUGAUAUUAUUACCUCCAUAUCUCAAAACAAUCAUCAAGCAUCAAACUUCUCUUAGUAUUCAAAACACUCAUAAGAAAAUUUUACUAAUCUUGAAUGCCUAGCAUAUUAGGACUUUAAGCAAAUUACCAUGCUAUUAAGACUCUCAAAAUAAUCUAAGUGAACCAUGAGAGAUCAAUAGUUUCUAUAAAACAAAUCCACCACCGUGCUCUAAAAGAUAUAAGUGAAGUACUAGAGCAAAACUAUAUAACUCAAAAGAUAUAAGCGAAGCACAAAGAGUAUUCUAACAAAUUCCAAAUCAUGUAUGGCUCUCUCAAAAGGUGAGUACAGCAAGGAUGAUUGUGGUAAACUAAAAAGUAAAGACUCAAAUCAUACAAGACGCUCCAAGCAAAACACAUAUCAUGUGGCGAAUAAAAAUAUAGCUCCAAGUAAAGUUACCGAUAGAAGUAGACGAAAGAGGGGAUGCCUUCCAGGGCAUCCCCAAGCUUUGGCUUUUAGGUGUCCUUAGAUUAUCUUGGGGGUGCCAUGUGCAUCCCCAAGAUUAGGCUCUUGCCACUCCUUGUUCCAUAAUCCAUCAAAUCUUUACCCAAAACUUGAAAACUUCACAACACAAAACUCAAAGUAGAAAAUCUCGUGAGCUCUGUUAGCGAAAUAAAACAAAAGACCACUUCAAGGUAAUGUAAUGAACUCAAUAUUUAUUUAUAUUGGUGUUAAAUCUACUGUAUUCCAACUUCUCUAUGGUUUAUAAACUAUUUUACUAGCCAUAGAUUCAUCAAAAUAAGCAAACAACACACGAAAAACAGAAUCUGUCAAAAACAGAAUAGUCAGUAGUAAUCUGUAGCUAGCGCAAGAUCUGGAACCCCAAAAAUUCUAAAAUAAAUUGCUGGACGUGAGGAAUUUAUAUAUUAAUCAUCUUCAAAAAUAAUUAACUAAAUAUCACUUUCCAACUAAAAAUUACAGCAGUUCUCGUGAGCGCUAAAGUUUCUGUUUUUUACAGCAAGUUCAACAAGACUUUCCCCAAGUCUUCCCAACGGUUCUACUUGGCACAAACACUAAUUAAACACAAAAAACACAACCAAAACAGAGGCUAGAUAAAUUAUUUAUUACUAAACAUCAGCAAAAAUCAAGGAAUGAAAAUAAAAUUGGGUUACCUCCCAACAAGCGCUAUCGUUUAACGCCCCUAGCUAGGCAUAACAAGCAAGGAUAGAUCUAGGUAUUGCCAUUUUUGGUAGGCAAUCCAUAAGUGGCUCUCAUAAUAGAUUCAUAAGGUAAUUUAAUUUUCUUUCUAGGAAAUUUUUCCAUGCCUUUCCUUAAUGGAAAUUGGAAUCUAAUAUUUCCUUCCUUCAUAUCAAUAAUUGCACCAAUUGUUCUAAGGAAAUGUCUACCAAGAAUAAUAGGACAUGAAGGAUUGCAAUCUAUGUCAAGAAAAAUAAAAUCUAUGGGCACAUAAUUCCUAUUUGCAACAAUAAGAACAUCAUUAAUUCUUCCCAUAGGUUUCUUAAUAGUGGAAUCCGCAAUGUGCAAGUUUAGAGAGCAAUCAGCAAAAUCACGGAAACCUAACAAAUCACACAAAGUCUUUGGAAUCGUGGAAACACUAGCACCAAAAACACAUAAAGCAUAGCAUUCAUGAUCUUUAAUUUUAAUUUUAAUAUUUGGUUCCCACUCAUCAUAGAGUUUUCUAGGGAUAGAAACUUCCAAUGCAAGUUUUUCUUCAUAAGAUUGCAUCAAGGCAUCAACGAUAUGUUUAGUAAACGCUUUAUUUUGACUAUAAGCGUGAGGAGAGUUUAGCACGGAUUGCAACAAGGAAAUACAAUCAAUCAAAGAGCAAUUUUCAUAGUUAAAUUCCUUGCAAUCCAUAAUAGUGGGUUUAGCAACAUCUAGGGUUUUAAUUUCUUCAAUCCCACUUUUAUCAAUUUUAGCAUCAAGAUCAAAAAAUUCCGAAUUCUUGGAACGCCUUCUAGGUAAAGGUGGAUCAUAUUCAGUCCCAUCAUUAUCAAGAUUAAUAUUGAAAAACAAAGAUUUAAUAGGGGACACAUCAAUAACUUUUAGAUCUUCAUCUUUAUUUUCAUAGCAACUAGAAGAACACGCUUUUAUAAAGGCAUCUUUCUUAGCACGCAUCCUAGCGGUUGUUUCUUUGCACUCAUCAAUGGAAAUUCUCAUGGAUUUGAGAGACUCAUUGAUAUCAUUCUUAGGUGGAAUAGAUCUAAGUUACAAAGAAUCAACAUCAAGAGCAAUUCUAUCAACGUUCCUAGCCAACUCAUCAAUCUUAAGCAAUUUUUCUUCAAUCAAAGCAUUGAAAUUCUUUUGCGAAGUAAUAAAUUCUUUAAUAUUAGAUUCAAAAUCAGAGUGCAUCUUAUUAUAAUUUCCAUAAGAAUUGUUUUAGGAAUUACCAUAAUUAUUAGAGGGAUUACUAGGAUAAGGCCUAGGAUUAAAAUUUCCUCUAUACGCAUUGUUACCAAAAUUGUUCCUGCCAACAAAAUUCACAUCCAUAGAUUCAUUAUUAUUCUCAAUCAAAGUAGACAAGGGCAUAUUAUUAGGAUCAGAAGAAACACUUUUACUAGCAAAUAGUUUCAUAAGUUCAUCCAUCUUUCCACUCAAAACAUUAAUUUCUUCUAUCGCAUGCACCUUUUUAUUAGUAGAUCUUUCGGUAUGCCAUUGAGAAUAAUUAACCAUAAUAUUAUCUAGGAGUUUAGUAGCUUCUCCUAAAGUGAUUUCCAUAAAAGUUCCUCCCGCAGCCGAAUCUAAAAUAUUUCUAGAAGCAAAAUUCAAUCAGGCAUAAAUUUUUUGAAUAAUCAUCCACAAAUUCAAACCAUGAGUGGGGCAAUUACGUAUCAUUAAUUUCAUUCUCUCCCAAGCUUGUGCAACAUGUUCAUGAUCAAGUUGCUUAAAAUUCAUAAUAUCGUUUCUAAGAGAGAUGAUCUUAGCGGGAGGAAAAUACUUAGAGAUAAAAGCAUCUUUGCACUUGUUCCAUGAAUCAAUACAAUUUUUAGGCAAAGACGAAAACCAAGCUUUAGCAUGAUCUCUAAGCGAAAAAGGAAAUAGCUUCAAUUUAACAAUAUCAUUAUCGACAUAUUUCUUCUUUUGCAUAUCACACAAAUCAACGAAGCUAUUAAGAUGGGUAGUGGCAUCUUCACUAGGAAGGCCGGAAAACGGAUCUUUCAUGACAAGAUUCAGCAAAGCAGCAUUAAUUUCACAAGAUUCAGCAUCGGUAAGAGGAGCAAUCGGAGUGCUAAUAAAAUCAUUAUUGUUGGUAUUGGUAAAGUCACACAAUUUAGUGUUAUCUUGAGCCAUCGUGACAAGCAAGCAAACUAACACACAAGCAAACAAAAAGCAAGUGGGCAAAAAUAGGCGAAUAGAGAAAGAGAGGGAGGAUAGAGAGAGAGAGGCGAAUAAAACGGCAAGGGUGAAGUGGGGGAGAGGAAAAUGAGAGGCAAAUGGAAAAUAAUGUAAUGCGGGAGAUAAGGGUAUGUGAUGGGUACUUGGUAUAUUGACUUUUGCGUAGACCUCCCCGGCAACGGCAACAGAAAUCCUUCUUGCUACCUCUUGAGCACUGCGUUGGUUUUCCCCGAAGAGGAAGGGAUGAUGCAGCAAAGUAGCGUAAGUAUUUCCCUCAGUUUUUGAGAACCAAGGUAUCAAUCUAGUAGGAGGCUACGCGUGAGUCCCUCGUACCUGCACAAAACAAAUAAAUCCUCGCAACCAACACAAAUAGGGCUUGUCAAUCCCUACUCAGCCACUUACAAGAGUGAGAUCUGAUAGAUAUGAUAAGAUGAUAUUUUUUGUAUUUUUAUGAUAAAGAUGCAAAGUAAAAUAAAAGCAAAGUAAAAGCAAAAGGAAAUAACUAAGUAUUGGUAGAUUAAUAUGAUGAAGAUAGACCUUGAGGCCAUAGGUUUCACUAGUGGCUUCUCUCAAGAGCAUAAGUAUUCUACGGUGGGUGAACAAAUUACUGUUGAACAAUUGACAGAAUUGAGCACAGUUAUGAGAAUAUCUAGGUAUGAUCAUGUAUAUAGGCAUCACUUCCAAGACAAGUAGACCGACUCCUGCCUACAUCUACUACUAUUACUCCACUCAUCGACCACUAUCCAGCAUGCAUCUAGAGUAUUAAGUUAAUGAAAAUAGAGUAAUGCCUUAAGCAAGAUGACAUGAUGUAGAUGGAUAAACUCAUGCAAUAUGAUGAAAACCCCAUCUUGUCAUCCUCGAUGGCAACAAUACAAUACGUGCCUUGCUGCUCCUACUGUCACUGGGAAAGGACACCACAAGAUUGAACCCAAAGCUAAGCACUUCUCCAUUGCAAGAAAGAUCAAUCUAGUAGGCCAAAACAAACUGAUAAUUCGAAGAGACUUGCAAAGAUAACCAAUCAUACAUAAACAAAUUCAGAGAAGAUUCAAAUAUUGUUCAUAGAUAGACUUGAUCAUAAACCCACAAUUCAUCGAUCUCAACAAACACACCUCAAAAACAAGAUUACAUCGAAUAGAUCUCCACAAGAGAGGGGGAGAACUUUGUAUUGAGAUCCAAAAAGAGAGAAGAAGCCAUCUAGCUAAUUACUAUGGACCCGUAGGUCUGAAGUAAACUACUCACACUUCAUCAGGGGGCUAUGGUGUUGAUGUAGAAGCCCUCCGUGAUUGAUGCCCCCUCCGGCGGAGCUCCGGAAUAGGCCCCAAGAUGGGAUCUCGUGGAUAGAAAGUUGCGGUGGUGGAAUUAGGGUUUUGGCUCCGUAUCUGAUCGUUUGGGGGUACAUAGGUAUAUAUAUAGGAGGAAUGAGUACGUCGGUGGAGCAACAGGGGGCCCACGAGGGUGGAGGGCGUGCCUGGUGGGGGUAGGCGCGCCCCCCUACCUCGUGGCUUCCUCUUUUGUGUCUUGACGUAGGGUCCAAGUCUCCUGGGUCUUGUUCGUUGAUAAAAUCACGUUCCCGAAAGUUUCAUUCCGUUUGGACUCCCUUUGAUAUUCCUUUUCUUCGAAACCCUAAAACAGGCAAAAAAACAGCAAUUCUGGGUUGGACCUCCGGUUAAUAGGUUAGUCCCAAAAAUAAUAUAAAAGUGGAUAAUAAAGCCCAAUGAUGUCCAAAACAAUAGAUAAUAUAGCAUGGAGCAAUCAAAAAUUAUAGAUACGUUGGAGACGUAUCACACCUUUAUAAUCACCCAGUUACGUUGUGACGUUUGGUAGCACACAAAGUGUUCCUCUGGUAAACAGGAGUUGCAUAAUCUCAUAGUCAUAGGAACAUGUAUAAGUCAUGAAGAAAGCAAUAGCAACACACUAAACGAUCGAGUGCUAAGCUAACGGAAUGGGUCAAGUCAAUCACAUCAUUCUCCUAAUGAUGUGAUCCCGUUAAUCAAAUGACAACUCAUGUCAAUGGCUAGGAAACAUAACCAUCUCCGAUCAACGAGCUAGUUAAGUAGAGGCAUACUAGUGACACUCUGUUUGUCUAUGUAUUCACACAAGUAUUAUGUUUCCGGUUAAUACAAUUCUAGCAUGAAUAAUAAACAUUUAUCAUGAUAUAAGGAAAUAAAUAAUAACUUUAUUAUUGCCUCUAGGGCAUAUUUCCUUCAAGACCCUUGUCGGGGCGGCCUCCGCAGCUCCGGGAAGACCCUUGCCGGGGCAACUUGCCCAAUGCCAGCAGAACGCGCCGCCCUUGAGCCAAGGGGUUCCAACGCCAUCACCCACAUCGGAACAAAGGCUCGGGAGGCACCUCCAUGGUAGCAUGCAGAUCUUUGUGGAGAUCAUAAAUACACAAGAUUAGAUGAGGACCAGAAGACGACGAUCCUUGGCAAGAUCCUUGCCAAGGAAAUCCACGAGACCCCCGACAAGAUCCUUGCCGGGGAUGACUGCGGUGCCACGUCAAGACCCUUGCCGGGCCCCCGGCAAGACCCUUGCCGAGGGCAUCUGUGGGGCCGCAGCCAGGCCCACAUAUGCCAAGACUCCACCACUGCUCCCAUAUAGCUGCUAGCUCAACCAGCUAGGCAGGCAUCUGUGUGGCAGCGUGCGGACUCCACACCGACUCAGCAAGCACCGGCAUGGUGGCAUGCAGAUCUUCGUGAAGACUCCGCCACCAUGCCGGCCCAGCAGCCAGCCAACGUGGCGCUACAACGCAUCGUCAGCUCAGACGCGCGUCGGGGCCAGGCGAGGCGGCAACAGCUAGGACAAGCUUCCUUUUCGUCCCUGAUAAAGCAAGAGGGGCACGAGACAGUGCAUUAAAUGUGUUUGUCCGAUGGUGCCAGAGGAUAGACUCAGCCACUAUACACCUUUCCACCUCCUGUGUGCCACUAUGGCGACCCCUUUUUCGCUAUAAAAGGAGGCCCGAUGCAUACUAGAGAGGGAUUCGGAUCUUUGGAACUAGACACACACCGUAGCUAGUUCAAGAACUCAAGAACACUCAAAUAUAUGUCAAAGCAGGACUAGGUUUUAUGCGUCUCCGUGGCCCGAACCUGGGUAAAUGAUCCUUGUGCUAACCGCCAGACCCGCUCUUUGCACAACCCCGCGCCCGCUAACCGUCGAAGGGAUCCCAGCGAUUCCAUAGGUGUCGUUUCCACCGACGUCUUUGGUGCGCCAGGUAGGGGGCUGAUACGUCUCCAACGUAUCUAUAAUUUUUUAUUGUUCCAUGCUAUAUUAUAUCCUGUUUUGAACAUUAUUGGGCUUUAUUAUACACUUCUAUAUUAUUUUUGGGACUAACCUAUUAAGCGGGGGCCCAGCCCAGAAUUGUUGUUUUUUGCCUAUUUUAGGGUUUUGCAAGAUAAGAAUAUCAAACGGAGUCAAAACGGAAUGAAACCUUCGGGAACGUGAUUUUCGAAAUGAACNNNNNNNNNNNNNNNNNNNNNNNNNNNNNNNNNNNNNNNNNNNNNNNNNNNNNNNNNNNNNNNNNNNNNNNNNNNNNNNNNNNNNNNNNNNNNNNNNNNNNNNNNNNNNNNNNNNNNNNNNNNNNNNNNNNNNNNNNNNNNNNNNNNNNNNNNNNNNNNNNNNNNNNNNNNNNNNNNNNNNNNNNNNNNNNNNNNNNNNNNNNNNNNNNNNNNNNNNNNNNNNNNNNNNNNNNNNNNNNNNNNNNNNNNNNNNNNNNNNNNNNNNNNNNNNNNNNNNCCUUCCUCCUAUAUAUACCUAUGUACCCCAAAACUACCAGAUACGGACCCAAACCCCUAAUUCCACCACUGUAAUUUUCUGUAUCCACGAGAUCCCAUCUUGGGGCCUGUUCCGGAGCUCCGCCGGAGGGGGCAUCGAUCACGGAGGGCUUCUACAUCAACACCAUAGACCCUCCGAUGAAGUGUGAGUAGUUUACUUCAGACCUACGGGUCCAUAGUUAUUAGCUAGAUGGCUUCUUCUCUCUUUUUGGAUCUCAAUACAAUCUCCCCCUCUCUCGUGGAGAUCUAUUCGAUGUAAUCUUCUUUUGCGGUGUGUUUGUUGAGACCGAUGAAUUGUGAGUUUAUGAUCAAGUUUAUCUAUGAACAAUAUUUGAAUCUUCUCUGAAUUCUUUUAUGUAUGAUUGGUUAUCUUUGCAAUGUUCUUCGAAUUAUCAGUUUGGUUUGGCCUACUAGAUUGAUCUUUCUUGCAAUGGGAGAAGUGCUUAGCUUUGGGUUCAAUCUUACAGUGUCCUUUCCCAGUGACAGUAGGGGCAGCAAGGCACGUAUUGUAUUGUUGCCAUCGAGGAUAACAAGAUGGGGUUUAUAUCAUAUUGCAUGAGUUUAUCCCUCUACAUCAUGUCAUUUUGCUUAAAGUGUUACUCUGUUCUUAUGAACUUAAUACUCUAGAUGCAUGCUGGAUAGCGGUCGAUGUGUGGAGUAGUAGUAGUAGAUGUAGGUUGGAGUCGGUCUACUUGUCUCGGACGUGAUGCCUAUAUACAUGAUCAUACCUAGAUAUUCUCAUAACUAUGCUCAAUUCUGUCAAUUGCUCAACAGUAAUUUGUUCACUCACCGCAAUACUUAUGCUCCCGAGACAAGCCACUAGUGAAACCUAUGCCCCCCGGGUCUAUUCUCCAUUAUAUCAAUCUCCAAUACUUAGUUAUUUUUAUUGCUUUCUAUUUUACUUUGCAUCUUUAUCAUAAAAAUACCAAAAAUAUUAUCUUAUCAUAUCUAUCAGAUCUCACUCUCGUAAGUGACCUGUAGGGAUUGACAACCCCUUAUCGCGUUGGUUGCGAGGAUUUAUUUGUUUGUGUAGGUCCGAGGGACUCGCGCGUGGCCUCCUACUAGAUUGAUACCUUGGUUCUCAAAAACUGAGGGAAAUACUUACGCUGCUUUACUGCAUCACCCUUUCCUCUUCAAGGGAAAACCAACGCAGUGCUCAAGAGGUAGCAAUAAUGAUUUCUAGCGCCGUUGCCGGGGAGUCUACGCAAAAGUCAACAUACCAAGUACCCAUCACAAAUCCUUAUCUCCCGCAUUACAUUAUUUGCCAUUUGCCUCUCGUUUUCCUCUCCCCCACUUCACCCUUGCCGUUUUAUUCGUCCUCUCUCUCUCUAUCUAUCCUCCCUCUCUUUCUCUCUUCGCCUCUUUUUGCCCGUCUCUUGUUUGCUUGUGUGUUGGAUUGCUUGCUUGUCAUGAUGGCUCAAGAUAACACCAAAUUGUGUGACUUCACUAAUACCAACAACAAUGAUUUUAUUAGCACUCUAAUUGCUCCUCUUACAGAUGUUGAAUCUUGUGAAAUUAAUGCUGCUUUGUUGAAUCUUGUCAUGAAAGAUCAAUUCGCCGGCCUUCCUAGCGAAGAUGCCGCUACCCAUCUAAAUAGCUUCGUUGAUUUAUGUGAUAUGCAAAAGAAGAAAGAUGUGGACAAUGAUAUUGUUAAAUUGAAGCUAUUUCCUUUUUGGCUUAGAGAUCGUGCUAAAGCUUGAUUUUCGUCGUUGCCUAAAAAUAGUAUUGAUUCAUGGAAUAAGUGCAAAGAUGCUUUUAUCUCUAAGUAUUUUCCUCCUGCUAAAAUCAUCUCUCUUAGAAACGAUAUCAUGAAUUUUAAGCAACUUGAUCAUGAACAUGUUGCACAAGCUUGGGAGAGGAUGAAAUUAAUGAUACGUAAUUGCCCUACACAUGGUUUGAAUUUGUGGAUGAUUAUACAAAAAAUUUAUGCCGGAUUGAAUUUUGCUUCUAGAAAUCUUUUAGAUUCGGCCGCGGGAGGCACUUUUAUGGAAAUCACUUUAGGAGAAGCUACUAAACUCCUAGAUAAUAUUAUGGUUAAUUAUUCUCAAUGGCACGCUGAAAGAUCUACUAAUAAGAAAGUGCAUGCGAUAGAAGAAAUCAAUGUUUUGAGUGGAAACAUGGAUGAACUUAUGAAAUUAUUUGCUAAUAAAAGUGUUUCUUCUGAUCCUAAUGAUAUGCCUUUGUCUACUUUGAUUGAGAAUAAUAAUGAAUCUAUGGAUGUGAAUUUUGUUGGUAGGAAUAAUUUUGGUAACAACGCGUAUAGAGGAAACUUUAAUCCUAGGCCGUAUCCUAGUAAUUCCUCUAAUAAUUAUGGUAAUUCCUACAACAAUUCUUAUGGAAAUUCUAAUAAGAUGCCAUCUGAUUUUGAAUCCAAUAUUAAAGAAUUUAUUACUUCGCAAAAGAAGUUCAAUGCUUUGAUUGAAGAAAAAUUGCUUAAGAUUGAUGAGUUGGCUAGGAAUGUUGAUAGAAUUUCUCUUGAUGUUGAUUCUUUGAAACUUAGAUCUAUACCACCUAAGCAUGAUAUCAAUGAGUCUCUCAAAGUCAUGAGAAUUUCCAUUGAUGAGUGCAAAGAAAGAACCUCUAGGAUGCGUGCUAAGAAAGAUUGCUUUAUAAAAGCAUGUUCUUCUAGUUUCCAUGAUAAUAAAGAUGAAGAUCUAAAAGUUAUUGAUGUGUCCCCUAUUAAAUCUUUGUUUUGCAGUAUGAAUCUUGAUAAUGAUGGGACUGAAUGUGAUCCACCUUUACCUAGAAGGCGUUUCAAAAAUUCGGAGUCUUUAGAUCUUGACGCUAAAAUUGUUAAAAGUGGGAUUGAAGAAGUCAAAACACUAGAUAUAGACGAACCCACUAUUUUGAAUUUCAAGGAAUUUAGUUAUGAUAAUUGCUCUUUGAUAGAUUCUAUUUCCUUGUUGCAAUAUGUGCUAAAUUCUCCUCAUGUUUAUAGCCAAAAUAAAGCCUUUACCAAACAUAUCGUUGAUGCUUUGAUGCAAUCUUAUGAAGAAAAAGUUGAGUUGGAAGUUUCUAUUCCUAGAAAACUUUAUGAUGAGUGGGAACCUACUAUUAAAAUUAAAAUUAAAGAUCAUGAAUGCUAUGCUUUGUGUGAUUUGGGAGCUAGUGUUUCCAUGAUUCCUAAGACUUUGUGUGAUUUGCUAGGUUUCCGUGAUUUUGAUGAUUGCUCUUUAAACAUGCAUCCUACAGAUUCCACUGUUAAGAAACCUAUGGGAAGAAUUAAUGAUGUUCUUAUUAUUGCAAAUAGGAAUUAUGUGCCCAUGGAUUUUAUUGUUCUUGACAUAGAUUGCAAUCCUUCAUGUCCUAUUAUUCUUUGUAGACCUUUUCUUAGAACGAUUGGUGCAAUUAUUGAUAUGAAGGAAGGGAAUAUUAGAUUCCAAUUUCCGUUAAGGAAAGGCAUGGAACACUUCCCUAGAAAGAAAAUUAAAUUACCUUAUGAAUCUAUUAUGAGAGCCACUUAUGGAUUUCCUUCCAAAGAUGGCAAUACCUAGAUCUAUCUUCGCUUUUAUGCCUAGCUAGGGGCGUUAAACGAUAGCGCUUGUUGGGAGGCAACCUAAUUUUAUUUUUAUUCCUUGAUUUUUUCUCAUGUGUAGUAAUAAAUAAUUUAUUUAGCAUCUGUUUUGGUUGUGUUUUUUGUGUUUAAUUAGUGUUUGUGCCAAGUAGAACCAUUGGGAAGACUUGGGGAAAGUCUAUUUAAUCUUGCUGUAAAAAACAAAAACUUUAGCACUCACAAGAACUGCUGUCAUUUUUAUUUGGAAAGUGAUAUUUAGUUAAUUAUUUUUGCAGAUGAUUAAUAGAUACAUUCCUCCCGUCCAGCAAUUUAUUUUAGAAUUUUUGGGGUUCCAGAUCUUGCGUUAGCUACAGAUUACUACAGACUGUUCUGUUUUUGACAGAUUCUGUUUUUCGUGUGGUGUCUGCUUAUUUUGAUGAAUCUAUGGCUAGUAAAAUAGUUUAUAAACCAUAGAGAAGUUGGAAUACAGUAGGUUUAACACCAAAAUAAGUAAAGAAUGAGUUCAUUACAGUACCUUGAAGUGGUGUUUUCUUUUCUUUCGCUAACGGAGCUCACGAGAUUUUCUACUUUAAGUUUUGUGUUGUGAAGUUUUCAAGUUUUGGGUAAAGAUUUGAUGGAUUAUGGAACAAGGAGUGGCAAGAGCAAAAGCUUGGGGAUGCCCAUAGCACCCCCAAGAUAAUAUAAUGACACCUAAAAGCCAAAGCUUGGGGAUGCCCCGGAAGGCAUCCCCUCUUUCAUCUACUUCUAUCGGUAACUUUACUUGGAGCUAUAUUUUUAUUUACCACAUGAUAUGUGUUUUGCUUGGAGCGUCUUGUAUUAUUUGAGUCUUUAUUUUUUUAGUUUUCCAUAAUCAUCCUUGCUGCACACACCUUUUUGAGAGAGACACUCAUGAUUCGGAGAUUGUUAGAAUAUUCUAUGUGCUUCACUUAUAUCUUUUGAGUUAUAUAGUUUUGCUCUAGUGCUUCACUUAUAUUUUUUUAGAGCACGUUGGUAGAUUUGUUUUUUAGAAACCAUUGUUCUCUCAUGCUUCACUUAGAUUAUUUUGAGAGUCCUACAAAACAGCGUGGUAAUUUUCUUUAAUUAUUUUAGGCAUUCAAGAUUAAUAAUAAAAUUUUCUUAUGAGUGUGUUGAAUACUAUGAGAAGUUUGAAACUUGAUAAUUGUUUUUCACAUAUGGAGAUGGUGAUACUAGAGUCGUGCUAGUCGACUAGUUGUGAAUUUUAGAAAUACUUGUGUUAAAGUUUGUGAUUCCCGUAGCAUGCACAUAUGGUGAACUGCUAUGUGAUGAAGCCGGAGCAUGAUUUAUUUAUUGAUUGUCUUCCUUAUGAGUGGCGGUCGGGGACGAGCGAUGGUCUUUUCCUACCAAUCUUUCCCUACUUUGCUUUGAUAACUUGUAGAUUUUUGCAAUAAGUAUAUGAGUUCUUUAUGAAUAAUGUUGAGUCCAUGGAUCAUAUGCACUCUCACCCUUCCACCGUUGCUAGCCUCUCUAAUACCGCGCACCUUUCGCCGGUAUCAUACACCCACCAUAUACAUUCCUCAAAACAGCCACCAUACCUACCUAUCAUGGCAUUUCCAUACCAAUUCCGAGAUAUAUUGCCAUGCAACUUUCCACCGUUCCGUUUACUAUGACACGCUCCAUCAUUGUCAUAUUGCUUUUGCAUGAUCAUGUAGUUGACAUUGUAUUUGUGGCAAAGCCACCAUUCAUAAUUCUUUCAUACAUGUCCCUCUUGAUUCAUUGCAUAUCCCGGUACAUCGCCGGAGGCAUUCACAUAGAGUCAUAUUUUGUUCUAAGUAUUGAGUUCUAAUUGUUGAGUUGUAAGUAAAUAAAAGUGCGCUGAUCAUCAUUUUUUAGAGCAUUGUCCCAAGUGAGGAAAGGAUGAUGGAGACUAUGAUUCCCCCACACGUCGGGAUGAGACUCCGGAUGAAAAAAAGUCCAUAAAAAGAAGACAAAAGGCCCAAAUAAAAAAAUGAGAGAAAAAGAGAGAAGGGGCGAUGCUACUAUCCUUUUACCACACUUGUUCUUCAAAGUAGCACCAUGAUCUUCAUGAUAGAGAGUCUCCUAUGUUAUCACUUUCAUAUACUAGUGGGAAUUUUUCAUUAUAGGACUUGGCUUGUAUAUUCCAAUGAUGGGCUUCCUCAAAAUGCCCUAGGUCUUCGUGAGCAAGCGAGUUGGAUGCACACCCACUUAGUUCAUUUUGUUGAGCUUUCAUACACUUAUAGCUCUAGUGCAUCCGUUGUAUGGCAAUCCCUACUCACUCACAUUGAUAUCUAUUCAUGGGAAUCUCCAUACCCCGUUGAUACGCCUAGUUGAUGUGAGACCAUCUUCUCCUUCCUUUUGUCUUCUCCACAACCACCAUUCUGUUCCACCUAUAGUGCUAUGUCCAUGGCUCACGCUCAUGUAUUGCGUGAAGAUUGAAAAUGUUUGAGAACACUAAAAGUAUGAAACAAUUGCUUGGCUUGUCAUUGGGGUUGUGCAUGAUUUAAAUACUUUGUGUGGUGAAGAUGAAGCAUAGCCAGACUAUAUGAUUUUGUCGGGAUAACUUUCUUUGGCCAUGUUAUUUUGAGAAGACAUAACUUCCUUUUGUCUUGAAUCUUUCGGAACUGAAUAUUCAUACCACAAUUAAGAGAAUUACAUUGAAAUUAUGCCAAGUAGCAUUCCACAUAAAAAAUUCUGUUUUUAUCAUUCACCUACUCGAGGACGAACAGGAAUUAAGCUUGGGGGUGCUUGAUACGUCUCCAUCGUAUCUAUAAUUUUUUAUUGUUCCAUGCUAUGUUAUAUCCUAUUUUUAACAUUAUUGGGAUUUAUUAUACACUUUUAUAUUAUUUUUGGGACUAACCUAUUAACCGGAGGCCCAGCCCAGACUUGUUGUUCUUGGCCUAUUUUAGGGUUUCGCAAGAAAAGAAUAUCAAACAGAGUCCAAAAGGAAUGAAACCUUCGGGAAUGUGAUUUUCGAAACGAACAUGAUCCAGGAGACUUGGACCCUACGUCAAGCAACCAACAGGGAAGCCACGAGGUAGGGGGCGCACCUCCCUCCCCCCCAGGCGCGCCCUCCACCCUCGUGGGCCCCCUGUUGCUCCACCGACGUACUCCUUCCUCUUAUAUAUACCUACGUACCCCCAAACUACCAGAUACGUAGCCAAACCACUAAUUCCACCACCGUAACUUUCUAUAUCCAUGAGAUCCCAUCUUGGAGCCUGUUCCGGAGCUCCGCCGAAGGGGGCAUCGAUCAUGGAGGGCUUCUACAUCAACACCAUAGCCCCUCCGAUGAAGUGUGAGUAGUUUACUUCAGACCUACGGGUCCAUAGUUAUUAGCUAGAUGGCUUCUUCUCUCUUUUUGGAUCUCAAUACAAUGUUCCCCCCCUCUCUCGUGGAGAUCUAUUCGAUGUAAUCUUCUUUUGCGGUGUGUUUGUUGAGACCGAUGAAUUAUGGGUUUAUGAUCGAGUUUAUCUAUGAACAAUAUUUGAAUCUUCUCUGAAUUCUUUUAUGUAUGAUUGGUUAUCUUUGCAAAUCUCUUUGAAUUAUCAGUUUGGUUUGGCCUACUAGAUUGAUCUUUCUUGCAAUGGGAGAAGUGCUUAGGUUUGGGUUCAAUCUUGCGUGUCCUUUCCCACUGACAGUAGGGAUAGCAAGGCACGUAUUGUAUUGUUGCCAUCGAGGAUAACAAGAUGGGAUUAAUAUCAUAUUGCAUGAGUUUAUCCCUCUACAUCAUGUCAUCUUGCUUAAAGCGUCACUCUGUUCUUAUGAACUUAAUACUCUAGAUGCAUGCUGGAUAGCGGUCAAUGUGUGGAGUAAUAGUAGUAGAUGCAGGCAGCAGUCGGUCUACUUGUCUCGGACGUGAUGCCUAUAUACAUGAUCAUACCUAGAUAUUCUCAUAACUAUGCUCAAUUCUGUCAAUUGCUAAACAGUAAUUUGUUCACCCACCGUAAUACUUAUGCUCUCGAGAGAAGCCACCAGUGAAACCUAUGGCCCCCAGGUCUAUUCUCCAUUAUAUCAAUCUUCCAAUACUUAGUUAUUUUUAUUGCUUUCUAUUUUAUUUUGCAUCUUUAUCAUAAAAAUACCAAAAAUAUUAUCUUAUCAUAUCUAUCAGAUCUCACGCUCGUAAGUGACCGUGUAGGGAUUGACAACCCCUUAUCGCGUUGGUUGCGAGGAUUUAUUUGUUUGUGUAGGUGCAAGGGACUCGCGUGUGGCCUCCUACUAGAUUGAUACCUUGGUUCUCAAAAACCGAGGGAAAUACUUACACUGCUUUACUACGUCACCCUUUCCUCUUCAAGGGAAAACUAACACAGUGCUCAAGAGGUAGCAGGGGCGCAGUUGUGAAAAUGUGGUCUAGCAGUUAGUUUAGCAAUUCUUCAUCGCCAUGGCUCCCAAGAAGAAGACGAUCACAGCGAUCGGUUCAUCGGGGACCAAACGGCCCGUACAACUGCGGGCGAGGAGUGGGGCGGUCGCGGACGGGAGCCGAGGCGUGGCCCAUGAACACCCGCAUCGCUCUGGUAGCCAAAGCCUGGAGAGCGGCGUCGUUCAUGCGCGAGACGACAGACCACACGCCGCCAAAUCCAAUGACGGAGCCGGGCCCCCGCAGGCGGUGUGGGGCCCUCCAGGGGCAGCGUCGUGCCACCCUCGGGCAGCGCGGCGACUUCCGAGGCGCCUACACUGGCGCCCACGACGCUCGCUUCCCAGGUUGUGCGCGGCGAGCAGCAUCACCACGCUGGUGACCCUGGGCGCCGCCGUGGGAAGAGUCAUGUGCGUCAUUCGCGGGACGUAGAGGCCAACAUGCACGCCGAGGCGCUGGCGAAACGGCGCACAGCCGCCAGGCCAUGAUAGAGCUCCUUCUAACAUGGUUAGAAGUUAGAGCGCGUCACGGUCCAUGCAGCUUUCGCCACCACCGACGCCCGCAGAAGCUUUGGCGCGCACAGUUGCUCCUCGACUUUCCUCCCGCUACGGAAAAGCUCGACGAGUGGAGAGCCACCAUCUGGAGCCUUGUUGGAAUUGCCAACAAAGAUGAGCCGCAACUAGCGGGACCCUCAGGCCGGCACUCCGUCGAGCCACCGCAUGCCAGUGGUGGAAGGACCGGAGGUGCUGCAGCCACGAUGCACUCUCCUCCUCCACGCCAGCCACUGUGGGUGCCGGUCCGUCGUGAUGACGCUUGUGAUAACAUCUCCAUAGCUUUGUCCGACCCACGGACCCACCGUGAUCAGCGCCGAGUUCUUCGGGAGCGAGCCCAUGAAGACGCUCGAACCACCAUCGAGCGUCGGCGCGAUGCACGCCACCAGUCAGAUAGGCGGGUGAGGCCCACUAUGGACAACCCAGCACCGGGAGGCUCUGGCGGCCUACCCUACUAGGUGGGUUGCCCAGCCUUUACCCGUGAGCUGCGGCAGUUCCAGUGGCCCUCCCACCGCACGUUCAAGCCCGACGUUGGCGAGAAGUACAAUGGCAAGACCCACCCGUCAGAGUUCCUCAACAUCUACACCAUCGCGGUGCAAGCUGCUGGAGCCUGCGACGACAAGGUGCUUGCCAAUUACUUCCCAUUGGCACUUAAACCCAAUGUUAUGUCAUGGUUGAUGCACUUGCCGGCGAAUUCCAUUUCUUCUUGGUCGGACUUGGGCCAUGAGUUCGUUGGCGCCUUCACCGGAGGCCACCAAGCUCAUGGCCAGGCAAGCGAUUUGCAUAUCAUCCCCCAGAAGGAAGGUGAAACCCUGCGCAAGUACAUAUAGAGGUUCAGCCGGGUGCAGUACAACAUCCCAGAUGUUCAUCCCACCGCCGUGAUCAGCGAAUUUCAUCAGAAUCUAUGCAAUCGCAAGAUGCGUGAAGAGCUGGCGAUGAACAAGGUCAAAGAUGUGGCCGAACUUUACAUUCUGGCCAAUAGGUGCGCCCGAUCUGAAGAGGGGAGGAAGUACCCCGGCGAGGACGCCGGUGUGGAAACCGACUCCACAGACGAAGACACAGCCACCCCGACGAAGAGGCAGUAGCAACGGCAGAACUGGCAGAUGGCAAGGUAAGGCCCCCGACAGAGUCUCACGCUGGCGGGACAGAGCCUGCGCAACCAAACGAAGUGGUGCAGAAGAAGAAAAUGAUGCAGCACCCGGUUUACCUUGUCAGCUCCCUCUUGCAAGGGGCUAGGUCAAGGUACUCCGGUGUGCAGAAAUUGCUCUUCGGCCUCCUUAUGGCCUCGAGGAAGCUACGUCAUUACUUCCAAGCACACGAAAUCACCAUCGUCACCCGCCUCCCGUUGCAACGGAUAUUGCAUAACCCAGACGCAACCGGGAGGAUUGUGAAGUGGGCCAUGGAACUGUGAAGCUUUGGUUUGAAGUUUGAAAGUACUUCGACAAUCCAGAGCAGAGUCUUGGCAGAGUUCAUUUCCGAGUGGACCUCAACGCCCGACGAAGAGAUCCAGGAGACCACCCUCCGCGGCAAGGAGGCAAGUUGCAACUGGAUUAUGUACUUUGACAGGGCUUUCUCGCUACAAGGCGCCGGUGCUGGUGUGUUGAUCAUUGCACCCACCGGAGAGCACCUCAAGUAUGUAAUCCAGAUGCACUUUCCUAGGAAGAUGUCCACGAACAACACUGUUGAAUACAAGGGGUUGCUUGUUGGUCUCAGGAUCGCAGCAGACCUCGGGAUCAAGAAGCUCAUCGUCAGGGGUGAUUCACAGCUUGUCGUCAGGCUAGUCAACAAAGAUUAUCAAAGCCCGUUGAUGGAGGCCUACGUAGAUGAGGUGAGGAAGCUGGAGGAGCGUUUUGACGGUAUACUGGCGCAGCAUGUUCCCCGAGUGGAGAACGACGUCGCCGACUACCUGUCGAAACACGCCGCCUUCAAACUACAUGUGGAACCAGGUACCUUUGUGCUUCGGUUGACUCAACCAUCUGUUGAACCAUCAACAGAGCAAAACAAGCGAAGGAAAUCAGGCCCCGACAAGUACUUUCCCGCAGAGCUCCCGAGAGCGGCCGACAAAGAUGUUACCGUGGAUGUUGAGCCUACCAUGGGACAACCGACUUCGGCGGGGCGUCAAGCCCUGGCUGUAGAGACAACCGCUCCCAUUGCAGAGGAAAUGCCUUUAGUCCUUGUCGUCGAGCCUCAGGCUCUGCAAUGGGCACAGCAUACCGUCCAAUUCCUCCAAACAGGGGAACUCCCUGAGGAGCAGGAAGAAGCGGAGAACGUAGCCUGUCAGUCUGCCAUGUAUCAGUUCGUCGACGACGUCCUGUACAGAAAAAGACCAAACGGUGUGAAAUUGAAGUGCAUUCCCUGGGAGGAAGGACUGGAGCUGUUGGCAGAGAUACACGGAGGCAUAUGUGGCUCCCACAUAGGGUCGAGGGCCCUUGUCGGCAAGGUUUCUUCUGGCCCACUGCCGUCCAGGAUGAAACGGCACUAGUAACCAAGUGUGAAGCGUGUCAAUUCCAUUCGAAGAAGCUUCAUUAACCAGCUCAAUCCCUUCAAACAAUUCCUCUCUUCUAGCCAUUUUCGGUCUAGGGGCUCGACAUACUGGGCCCCUUCCUACGUGAUGUCGGGGGCUUUGAGUACUUGUACGUUGCAAUCAACAAGUUCACAAAGUGGCCGGAGGUGGAAGCAGUAAGGAAGGUGACAGAGCAAUCAGCCGCCAAGUUCUUCAAGGGGCUAGUCUGCCGUUUUGGUGUGCCAAACAGAGUCAUCACCGGCAAUGGCACGCAGUUUACAAGCUACACCUUCAUGCAAUACAUCCAGGACCUCGUCAACAACGUCUGUUUUGCUUCCGUGACACACCCACGGAGCAACGGCCAGGAGGAGAGGGCAAAUGCUAAAGUACUACGAGGCCUGAGGACAAAGACUUUUGACAGGCUGCACAAGAGCGGGAGGCACUGGAUUGAUGAGUUGCCGGCGGUUCUUUGGUCAAUCAGAACGACGCCAAAUUGAGCCACCGGCUAGACACCCUUUGCCCUGGUAUACGGGGCAGAAGCAGUUCUCCCCACGGAACUCACGUACGGGUCACCUCGAGUGCUCUCUUAUGACAAGCUUGAGCAAGAGCAGUUGCGGCAAGAUAACGCAACGCUCCUUGAGGAAGAUCGUCUUCGGGCGGCUGUGAGAGCAGCGCGCUACCAGCAAGCCUUGCGCCGCUACCAUAGCAGCAAGGUUCAUGCCUAAAGCUUUGAGGAAGGCGACCUUGUUCUUCGGUGCGUUCAAUCAGCCAAAAAUUCCAACAAGUUGAUGCCGAAGUGGGAAGGCCCUUAUCGGGUAAUACGAGUCACCAGGCCCGGCGCAGUCCGCCUGGAGACCGAAGAUGCUAUUCCAGUGAGCAACUCCUGAAACAUCGAACAUCUUCGCAAGUUUUACCCAUAAGGCGCGGUUGUCACCCCCCCCCCCGGCAAGCCACCUUUUGUACAGGCCUUGCCAGCAAGGCAUGUAACCCUCUAUACAAAGCCAGGCGCAGACCCUAUGCCUAAAUAAAUGAAGCGCUGGCGCCCUAAGUUUUAGCAUGCAUGCUAGGUUGAGUCUCUCCCUCGGUUAGGGUUAAUAGUGCUUAGCGGUGGCUAACCCCUAGCAUAGAGGUCGAGUGUGCAUCUCUCUCUAUUCCUUUCCUUCCUCUUUGGUUCGCAGGGUACAUGAACAUUUUUGCUGAGCUAUUUGGAAGAAAGAGAACAGGCCGACGCCCCGACCCCGACAAGCCAAGGUUGCCGGGGGCUGUAGGUCUAAGGAUCCAAUCACGGCAAGCCAAGGUUGCCGAGGGCUGCAACAUCAGAUAAGUGUUUCUCCCCCACUCUGUGCCCCCGUAUGAACCUUGAACUUAUAAGGCUUCACUCGCUCUUGUACCAUCUUGCUCCCUCUGUCCCGUGUCCGAAAACCUUAUUUUGGGCCGGAACUUGGUUGUAGUGCAAUGGGAAGAGGGCGAGCGAAGGGCCUAAUCCUACUCGGCCCCUACCUCCGCCAAGGGCGUGAGUGUAGCUGAGCCAUAGAGCAGGAGGACGGGAAGGCCUGUUGCCGGGAUACAAUGUUUAUCUUAAGAUAACGAGGACGCGUUCCUCGGUGUGGCCCUCGCCCACGCGCAAACAAAACCCGGCAAACACCCUUCUUUUCAUUCAUACAUUGUAAACAAGUACAAUUCAUACGAAAUGAGUACACGAGCGAGGGGAAUACAAAGUCUAAAUUUUACCAAGGCCCGUAGGCUUACAAACUAAAAAAAGAUAAGUGCCCCGUGAUCCCCGUUCUUGCCCUUUUCCUCCCAGGUGCAGCAGGUGAAGGCAAAAGAGGGGCGAUGGGGAAUGCCCCGAUGGAGAGCUGGACGAGGAAGGCCCUCGACAGGGCACGUGGCCAAGGGAGGAGCGGCAUGGUCAGUCAGAGUCGGAGUCGGUGUUCCCCCACUCGACACCCUUGUCUUCAUUGUUGAUGUCCUCCUCGUCACUCCCUCUUGAGGAAGAGUCUUCGUCAUCGGAGGAGCUCUCCACGCAGCACUUUAGGCGAGUUCCAGAGUCUCCAAAGACCUUGACGGAGAGCAGGCCGUUCUCCAUUAAUUUGAAAUAGAGAACAAGCUGCCGUCAGGCUAUGGGUACAAGCAAAAGUCUUCCAUCCGCGAUGAAGGUACAUGACGUGAGGGGCAGGAAAGUCGACGUCAACCCGCAUGCCGCCGUUCCCGCAGCCCCUCAUAUGCAACCUUAGGGUCUGGGGAGGAUCGAGCUCCAUCUCCCGAGCGAAUGGAGCAGGGAGACGAAGGCGACGGUGCUGUGGCAAGUGCAGCCUGAUGAAGAACUCACGAGGCUGGUCCCCGACGUGGCCCUCCAUUGGGGGAGGCAUCGCUGGCGGAGGUAAGGCCGGAGCGCUGCCCCGUCCCCCUCUUCCCCAAGCUCCACGCCGACCUCGGCCUCGCCCCCUCCCCCUUACUCUCAUGGCUGGCUCUGCCGCCGCGAGCUCUUGGGAAGGAGGGACGCGCUGUCGAGCAGAGACCCUCGCCGCCACCGUCGAAGGGCCGGCGCCCCCUUUCGCCAUGGCAGAUGAAGGAACGGAGCUGAGGUGGAAGGAGAUGGAUGGUGAAAGAUUGUGGGAUGACAUCCCCCUCCCCCUUCUUAUAAAGGGGCAGGGUCGGGGCUCGGCCGCCCCACUCAGCCAAUCCGCCCAUCAGGGGCGCAGGGAAUCGAGACCGACCCGCUGCUCAAAUCAGCGACGGUCCAGUUUCUCNNNNNNNNNNNNNNNNNNNNNNNNNNNNNNNNNNNNNNNNNNNNNNNNNNNNNNNNNNNNNNNNNNNNNNNNNNNNNNNNNNNNNNNNNNNNNNNNNNNNNNNNNNNNNNNNNNNNNNNNNNNNNNNNNNNNNNNNNNNNNNNNNNNNNNNNNNNNNNNNNNNNNNNNNNNNNNNNNNNNNNNNNNNNNNNNNNNNNNNNNNNNNNNNNNNNNNNNNNNNNNNNNNNNNNNNNNNNNNNNNNNNNNNNNNNNNNNNNNNNNNNNNNNNNNNNNNNNNUGCCACCUUGGAGGCAUGGGGGACAUGUGGCGAGCAAGCAGAAAUCAAGGGGACGGGUGAAGUGACCGUUCUCCACCCUGUCAUCGUGGGGCGCGGGCGCGUUGAAGACCACGACCCGAGUCCACUUAGUAAAUGAGCCGCGCCUCUGCGUUUUCCUCUUUUUAUGGGGAAGGCACAUGCUGCCUCUUUACCAUUUACUGCGACAUGACGCAUGCGUGCGGAAAUCGCCCCACGCAGGACCCCCACGUCACGCAUGACCCUCCACGUCGCGCGUUCAACAUGGGUCAUGGGGAAGCGCAGCGAGCGAAGGAGUUACUACAAGUAAAAAUCUGCCCCGCCUGCCCGCGCACCAUUCUGGACCUGGCCCAACAACACGUCGCACUUAUGUGUGGCCCAGACCCGGGGGCUCCUGUCGGUGUACAAAAGUAUGGGAUUUCCUUUGUACCCCUUUACUUGUGCAUGGGCAGUCAAAGCCACGCCCGCGACCACACUGAGCAGGGCAAAGGAGGGAAGCCGGAGCAUGAGGCAACCGAACCAACGCCAAGGCCAGAGGCACAGAUAGAAAGAGGGCGAGGUGGACUCCCCCGGCAAUGCCCUUGCCGGGGCGGCCUCCGCAGCCCCGGCAAAAGCCUUGCCGGGCAACUUGCCCAAUGCCAGCAGAACACGCCGCCCUUGAGCCAAGGGGUUCCAACGCCAUCACCCACAUCGGAACCAAGGCUCGGGAGGCACCUCCAUGGUGGCAUGCAGAUCUUUGUGGAAAUCAUAAAUACACAAGAUCAGAUGAGGACUAGAAGAUGACGAUCCUUGGCAAGAUCCUUGCCAAGGAAAUCCAUGAGACCCCGGCAAGAUCCUUGUCGGGGACGACCGCGGUGCCACGGCAAGACCCUUGUCGGGCCCCCCGGCAAGACCCUUGCCGAGGACAUCUGUGGGGCCGCAUCCAGGCCCACAUCUGCCAAGACUCCACCACCACUCCCAUACAGCUGCUAGCUCAACCAGCUGGGCAGGCAUCUGCGUGGUAGCGUGCGGCCUCUACACUGACCCAGCAAGCACCUGUGCGGUGGCAUGUAGAUCUUCGUGAAGACUCCGCCACCACACCGGCCCAACAGCCAGCCAACAUGGCGCUACAACACCUCGUCAUCUCGGACGCAUGUCGGGGCCAGGCGAGGCGGCAAUAGCUGGGACGAGCUUCCUUGCCGUCCCCGAUAAAGCAAGAGGGGCACGUCGGCAGCGCAUUAAAUGUGUUUGUCCGACAGUGCAGACGAUAGACUCAGCCACUAUACACCUUUCCACCUCAUGUGUGCCACUGUGGCGACCCCUUUUUGGCUAUAAAAGGAGGCCUGAGGCGUACUGGAGAGGGAUUCGGAUCUUUGGAACUAGACACACACCAUAGCUAGUUCAAGAACUCAAGAACACUCUAAUAUACGUCAAAGUGGGACUAGGGUUUUACACGUCUCCAUGGCCCGAACCUGGGUUAACAGUCCUUGUGCUGACCACCAGACCCGCUCUUUGCACAACCCCGUGCCUGCCAACCGUAGAAGGGAUCCCAGUGAUUCCAUAGGUGUUGUUUCCAUCGACAAUAGUCUAGGGAUAUGUGUAUGUUACUAGUGUACUACUCUCCAUUGUGGCUAGUCUCAUACUCCCUCCUUUCCGGUUUAGGCUGGUUGUAAUGGUAUUAUCAUAAGUGGUAUCAUGCAUGCCAACUAGACUUUCUGGAUGAUGUGGCACACAAGAGAGGAUGUGGUAUCAUAUCAUGAUACCGUGUCAUAUUAAAUGUUGUACUACUACUUUGUGUGAUGCAUGACAAUUAGUAAGGCAACCUAAGAUGUUAACUUAUGAUACUAUGCAUUACGGAAGUAGUAUCCUAGCUACACUAUCAUAUAUAUGCAUGCAUGAUACUACUAGUAUAUAUAAUAUUCCCCAUUACAACCAGCCUUAUAGGGCUCAAUUCAUAAAUACGGUCAUCUAUGAUAUAUACUCCCUCCGUAAACUAAUAUAGGAGUGUUUAGGUCACUACUUAGUAAUCGAAACGCUCUUACAUUAGUUUACAGAGGGAGCUAGUACUACUCUAUGAUACUAUAUAUGCACUAUGAAGGUACGUACAUAGUACCAUACACUAGUAUCAUAUGCAUGAUACUAUAUAUAUAUAUAUAUAUAUAUAUAUAUAUAUAUAUAUAUAUAUAUAUAUAUAUGAAACUCCCCACUAUAUAAGGCUGGCCAUAGUGGCCGACGAUGUCAUACACUCGGAAAUAGCAAGUAUGCUGAUGUGACAAAGAAUUAAAUAUAUAUAGAGAGGGUUAGAGUAACAUAUAGUAGGUAGAUACCGUAUCAUGUUAAAUGCGAUGCUAAUUUGUGUCAUGCAUGGCAAUAAAUAUGAUAUAUAUAUAUGAUACUAUACUCUCUGUAUUAUACUAUAUGCUAUAAUUAAUUAAAGGUAGUAUCAUACACUAGUAUCAUAUGUAUUGUAUAUUCAUGAUACUAGUAUAUGACACUCUCCACUAUACUUAUGAUUUCUUACCAUGGAAAAAACUUGGAGGCGAAACGAUGAACUCAUGUUUUCAUUCAAACAAAAAUAUGAUGUUGGGUAAUGUAAAUGUUUUCAAAGAGCACAUGGUUCACUCAUGAAAGCCGUGUGUCCACUAAACCAUGGCCAAUGCACCCCCCACCCCUCUGCCACGUGUGCGAUCUGAGUUGUGCGUUCUAAUUGGCUAGAACCCAAACCCCACUGAUCGUACGUCUGCACCAUUGGAUUCUCCUUGAUCGAACGGCGAUCCUCAUCCCUUUCGACAACACAUGUACAUGUUUUCAAAUAGCCUCUCCCCAAAAAAUGUUUUAAAAUAGCACACGGUUCACACACGUAAGCCGUGUGCCUACCAAACCGUGGCCGAUGCCCCCCAUCGCUGCGCGCGCGAUCUGAGUCGUGUGUUCUGAUUGGCCAGAACCCAAACCCCACGGAUUGUACAUCUGCACCGUUGGAUGCUCCCAGAUCGAAAGGCAAUCCUCAGCCCUUUCGAUAGGAAAUGCAGUCCGGCUAGGAAUUGAUUUAUAUGCCAACAUGCACGGUAAAUGCCAAAAAUGUCUUACAUAUAGCACACGAGACCUGAAAUGCACCAGCAAAUCAAACCCGUGGUAAAAUUGUGAUUGGUUUACGUGCGAAAAAUUUAGAGGAGAAAUGAUGAACUCACGUCUUCAUUUCAAAAUUAGUACGUCUUCAUUUCAAACGAAAUUAUUCUGUUUGUGCACACGAGCGCUUAGAGGCAACCGUUUGCAUAGGCCUUUCUGCGCUCGGCAACCGGGGAUAUUUUUCACCCUUUUCACCUAGGCCGUAACACCCCUCCCCCCACCGUCCGCCCACGUUUCACUCAACUAGUCCACCCAAUCUCCUUCGCCAGCUCCCCCCUCCCCCAGAUCCACAACAGAACCCUCUCCAGUGCCGCCAUGCUCACCCCAGCCGUGUGCCCGCUCUUCGGCGUGAAGCCUACCUCCACUGUCGUUCCCAACACGCGGCGGCCCGCGCCUCGCCAUCUUUGUUUGCUCGCCAUCCACCCUCGAGCAAAUCGAUGCCGUAACCCUCGCCUCUCCUCUGGUCCGGCCGGAUUUGCAUUAAGAAGCCUGUUAGUUACUGCUCUCCAUCACGGUGAGGCAUAUUUCCUCGCAAUCCCUUUUCCAAUUUUGUUCUGUAUGUUCCCAAAUUGGCUAUAAAUAAUGGAGAGCAUAUAUAUGUUCAUUAUCUACCUUCCUUACUACAUAUAAGUUGUAUUUGUUCAAAUAAGUUACUGCCUAUUUGCAGAUCGCGAGCACCCGAGUCACACAAACUUAACAAAUUAGUCGUACAUUUUCUAAAUUAUUGCAUGGCAUGUUUAGAAACCUUGAUACCAAGUUGUUAGUUUUCUGCUUAUCCUCCUUUCCUGAGUUUUGCAUGUGUUCUCUGUAGAUGCCGAGUAGCAGCGACAACACUCAUUCAGGCCAUGUAUCUUCAUCUGAUUCGGACAACCCUAGGUCUUCAGCAGAUUGUAAGGGAUCAAGUAGUCUUGAACAGGCUAGAGCUGCAGCAAUUACCCUUCCGGUCAGGACAUGGAGGAACGCUCCAAGGAAGCCCACACACCAGCCUAAAGGUGUAUAUGAAGUAACCGAGAUUGAUUUAAAGUCCUGGGCUCCAACUAAACCAGAUAAAGCACGCUUGAGGUUCAGGAGUGUGUGUGGAUUUGUUGGCAGGGCCAACAUUAAUCUUUCGAGGUUUCAGAAGGCUGACACGGAAACACGACGAAGGAUAGUCUGGGAGAUCAUGGAUCACUUCAACGUUCCAAAGCAAUGGAGAAUGCAGGUGGAACACGCUGCACUGAAGAAGGCUAGGGAUGCUUGGAGAAACUGGAAGCACGUGAUGUACAAGAAGUACUUGACUGAAGGCAAGGACCCAAUUCCUACAUACCCCCAAAUUACAAAGGCAGAUUGGGCAUAAUUCAAAAGGGUCAGGGCAACUCCAGAGUUUGCUGCGAAGAGUAUCAAGCAAACGGAACUUCAGAAGAAGAACAUACACCCCCACCGUAUGGGUGUGGCAGGAUACUACGGCAUGAAACUGAUAUGGGAACAUGAGGGCAAAGAAGCAGUAGCGGCAGGUGGGAAUCCGGCCUUUAGUGAAAUCAAGGGCGAACGCGCCAGAGACUACUUGCGGGCACGUGCAAAGAGGCGUGAUGAUAGAACUUAUUACUUUGAAAACGCACGUGAUGCCAAACUGUAUGAAGUGAUGGUAGAGGCUUCCAAGAUCCCUAGAAGGUUCUACAUGAACUCAGGGCCAUGUGACAUUCUGUCCAUUGCUCUGGACACAAAAGAGCCCCCUGGCCGUGCAAGGGUAUAGGUGUUAAUGUCCCGCACAAGAGGGCUUUCACACUCAGCAAAGAAGAGAGGCUCAGCAUGAAAAAAAUGAGGAGUAAAAUGAAGCAGAAUGCAUUGUUUGAAAAGUUAAAGAAGGAGAUUUAUCCGGCUGUUCGAAAGGAUGUUGAGGAGUCAAUGAUGAUGUAGAAGACUCUAACAUUGACAAAUAGCCAGCAGAUGGGAGGGGAGGCGGGCAUGGAUGAUGUUUCUUAUUGCGUGACAACACUGCACAAGGGUAGCUGUGCAUUAGCUGACCCCAGCAACACUGAGACUGCAGCUGCUCGUGAUGAUGCUAUAUCUGAUCUAUCUGGAAUGAAAGACAGACUGAAGGGCGUGCUUACACAUUAUGAAGGUACAUUAAAUUGUGCAACAGCCUGGGUUUGCCCACCCUUCUUGGAAGGUGGCUUCUUCUUGGACAAUGUGCCAUUGAAGCCGGGCUGUGUGAAGUGCUACGUGACUGAAGUAAAGUCUGGAUUCAACGAAUUUGCUUUGAAGAAUGUCCUAGGAGACUUCGAUAAGCAAAGGACCUUGGGAGAAACACUGUUACAUCACAUCCAGUGGCCACGAAAGGAAACGGAGUUCAUUGAUGAGAUUCCUGAAGCCCCGCCAAGAGAAACCACUGUCGCCCCUCAACCCGUGACGCUCUCCUUGCCCGAGCAGCUCUCGCGGGCUGAUGCAUCAACCUGUGAUCAGCCGGACCGACUUUGUGGCGUACAGGCCAUGUCAUCCUCCACCCCAAAGCAGCCAGUGGAAAGGCCUACAACUGCUGAUGACGCACCACCGAUUCAUAUGCCGGCCACUGAAGCAGCGGGAGGAGACCCAGCUGCAGCAAAUGCUCAGCAGACCAACCUGGUGGAACAGACUGCUAAGCAGUCUGAUGCUUCGGAACCGCCUGCUAAGAAAUCUGUAGGUCCAGAACUGACUGCUCAUCAGUCCGUCGGUUCGCAGGUGCAUGAUUAGCAUACCAAUGCGUCAGCACUUCCUGCUCAGCAAACCAACGCGAUUGCACAGCCUCCUCAGCACACCGACAAGUUGGCACCACAUGCGCAGAAACCUGACAUAGCUUCAACGCAUGGUCAGCAGUCUGAUGCCUCUGCUCCUACAGCCCAGCAGUCCAUCACAACAGCACCGCCAGCUCAGCGGUCCGGCAUAGAUAAACCGUCUGCUAAGCAGUCCGUCCAAGCUUCAUCAUCUGCUCGGCAGUCUAUCGUGCAGGCAACCAGACGUUCUGCCAGAAAUGCUUCAAGUACCAAGAAGGAAGUGGCCAAAAAGGCUACACCCACGACCACGAGGAAGCGCAGCGGGAGAGUGAAGAGGAAAGAGAACGAUUGCCUCUUACUUAAAGCACUCAUCGCCCAGAACCAAAUUAACAGCAGAUUGUUCGAAUCAGGGAGUAAUAUUAUUUUUGACGCCAUGGGUGAUGAAGAAGUAUGUUUGUUGCUUGCUAAAAAUAAAGCAGUCAUACUUGAAGCACGCAAUUACGUCCAUGGUCAGCCAUUUCUUAUUGGCGAAUACUUUGAUGAGUGCAGCUCCAGUUGCCGCGAGUUACAUCAAUAUUGCAUGGAUCAAAUGUCAGAAGGUCAUCACCAUUUGCUAGUCCACUACAACAGAGAUCAUUUCCGACACGAUGCUGGUUCCAUCAUUGUGAGUUUCGAGGACUUACAUCUCUUCUUCAACUUCAACGUGCUCGAUGCCACUCUUGUUAGAUGCGUGAUUUUUGAAGUACUUAGCAAACUCUGAUCAAAUUCUCCAUACAAGGUUGUAAAUGAUAAAUAGCUAACUGCAUUUUAUUCCUCUCAAGGGAUUGAACGUGCAGAGAAGACAAAGUGAGAAUGUGUAUUUCAUAGAUCCUGCAUUAGCAAAUGGCACAACAUUACAUGAAAAGGACCGAUGGGACUGGGCCGUUAACAUGGUCAUCCGUAUCUUCAAAAACACGUCUCAUGCAGAAUCAUUUCUCUAGACAUAUCAUGAAUGGUAAGUCAAGUAAACAACCACGCAUACACUAAUUGUCUUUCAUAUUUCAACAUCAUUCGUAAAUUCAUGGCUUUCUUAAUAUGUAGCAAUCACUGGAUAUUGGUAUUCAUUGUUCCAAACAAGAACACAGUUUACUACAUCGAUUCUCUCAGAGAGUUAACAAACGCUCAGGAUCUGACACAUCUUCAGCAAUUCUUGGAUAGGUAUUGAAUUCUAUGAUGUUGAAAUUAAUUUGCAUUCAUAUCUGGUUCAAUAAUUGAUGUUGUCAAAAUUCAUCAUCAUUUGCAGUGUGCUCGCAUUGUGGGAAACUAAAAUAGGGAACCUGUUCAAGAGGAAACUACCUCUGCAGCACGAGAUUGUUUCUCCGGUAACACACCGAAAUCCAUUAUUUUCGAAAAAUUUAUCCAACAGUCUGCAAAUACCUUUCCUUACGCUAAUCAAAUGUUCAAGCUUCUAAAUAAACCUCUUUCUAUUUUGUCCAGAGAAAAAAAUAAUACAUCUAACACCGGUUAGAUUGUUCCUAACAGGACAAAUACAUGACUAAUUUUGUACAAAAAAUUUCAGUGUCCUCAGCAAGAAGCAGGAACCAACCUUUGUGGAUAUUAUGUUUGCAGACACACGAUCUCCAUCUACAAAUUUGUUGAUAGUUGUGACGAUCCUUACGAAUUAGUACCAGUAAGUCUAUCUUAAUUAAUAUCUUCUACUCCACUCUUAUGGCACAUUCUGAUCUUAAAAAUACUGCAGCUCAUCUUAAAAUCGAGGACCCAUGAACCGCUCCCGGCUGGUGAAUUGCUGAUGGUUCAGAGAUUUAUCAGCGACUUCUUCCUGGAUCACUACAUCAAUCCCACUGGUGAUAAUGAAAAUUUCAGCAUGCGUUCUCCUGAAACAUUGAGUAAGAGUUAUCCGCUAAACAUAUAACGCAUGGACCCAUUGUUUUCCAUCUGAUGAGGUCUUCCUAUUUUGUACACUAUGAUUAAUUAUGUAAUGCAUAUAUGUGUGGCCAAAUCAUUGGAAUUUAGCUACCAUAUGUUCAAUUGCAAUUGCUGCGAAAUCUGAUGAAUGUUCUUCCUGUGGACACUAUUUGUUCAAUUGAAUAUUGUGGUGAAUUUGCUUUUUGCGUGCGAUUCAAAAUGGGAUAUUUUUGUUUAUUUGUUCAAUUGAAUAUUGUGGCAAAUUUGCUUUUUGCGUGUUGAUUCAAAAUGGGAUAUUUUUGUUUUAACCUGGCAAUUGCUCCGCACAUGGUUCAACUAAAUGAGUGUGUGCGAUCCACAUCGAAAAGCAUACGUCAAUCGUAGCGGAACCGUCGGUGAUACACAGCAGAUCGCAAACGAUUUGCAAUGCUACUACGUGUGCAUAGGUUCUCUGGAACCGCUUGUGAUAUCGCGUUAUCGCACACGAGAACUGGGAGUAAACCGUGCCCAAUGCAAAAUACAAUCCCAGUCGUAUUUUGUUAGGAAACGUGUGGGAUCCCAAACGAAAAGCACAUGUCACUCUUACGGCAACCGUCAGUGAUACCUAACAAAUCACAAACAGUCUGCAGCACUUGUAUGUGUGUGAAGGGGCUCCUGAACCGUUUGUGAUAGAACAUUAUCACAGACGGUAAUUGUUGGAAAACAUGUGCAAUGGAGUCUAGCAUGGCAGACGGGUUACGCAAAAAACUCAUGUGCGACAGGGCACAAAUCGCACACAGUUCAUAUGUUGGCCCGUGUGCCUUACAUACUGUUUCCCAAACGGUUCGUUACGACAGACCUUAUGGUUUCACUGCGUCAUUAGAAACGCUUAAUCACCGAUACCACACGUGCGAAAGAAUUUAGUGUGUGCUGCAUCACACACGAUUACAUUUUGGAAGGCCUCUGGAUCACUGUUCCAUAUCCCCGACGGUUUCUGGGUCGUGUGGGAAGGACUCCCUAUCGCACACAAUCACUUGGCGACGGUUCCGAGGCCGUCACGGAAAGGGGUUAAAAAUCGUUUGUUUAGGAUCGACGCGCACCAGUGCUCCCUCCCAACGUCUCCAUUAAUGGCGCCCAAGGCCAUAUUCUACGGCGUGACUAUACUCACUGGACUGAGAUUUAAGAGAGAAAAUGAAAAUCUGAAAAGAAAGUUUGCAUGGGUCUUGAUGUAAGAUCCGAUGGACCUAUAUAGCAUCCACUGCGACUUAUAGCAAGCAUGCUGAAUAUAAAGGACGAUGAUAGUGGAUAAUAAUUGUCUUACAUAUUUAGGAACAUAAUUAAAAUCCCCGCAAAAAAGGAACAUAAUUAAAAAAAGCCACAUGCGGCAACACCCGAAAUACACAAGGGCAAAAGAAGAAGGAAGACAACGAUCUGGCUCGUUGAUCUCUACUUUCUUGAUGCAUUGCUGCAGGCUGUAGGAACUAGUCUGUGAGGCGAGCGGCGAUGAGCUCUUUCUUGUCCUCAAGAUGCUGCUUGAGAGCAUCCACGGAUUCCUCCACCAGCCUUCUGCGCUUGAUGCACAGCAUGGCAUCCUCGUCCAUAAAUUUCUCGACGAUGAUGUCGGCCCUCUUCAACAAGGCAGUGGUCUCCUCUUGCUACUCCGCACUUCCAACGAUCUUCGCCCUCAGCAGGUCACCCUCGGCCCGGAGCUUCGCAUUGCUCCCAUUUAGUUGCUGGAUGACACCGGUAGCCUGUUCAAAAGAGGCUUUCAUGUUGUCCUGCAACCUCGCCCAGCCGGAGAUCUGAUACAUCUGGCCAUGGACGAUCGCAUGCAUGCGCCUGUAAGAGUCCUCGCCUGCCCGCGAGACAUUUUCCCAGGCCACCACAGCGCGGGAGGACAUCUCUGCUGCAUUUGCGGUGCGGCGGGACAUCUCUUCUGCUUCCGCAGCACGGACGGACCAGUCUGCCGCAUCGACGACACAGUGGGACCUGCGUGCUGCUUCGGUGGCGUGGCGGGACCUCUGUGCGGCUACGGCCGCACGGCGGGACAUGCCGGCUGGCUUCACAGCGAGGCGGGACAUCUCUCGUGCUUCCGCUUUCAUGCUCACAUCUCUCUGGUGGUAAUCUCUCGACCCAGAACUCACGCUGGCCAUGGCCGGCGCAAGGGAACGAUCAUGAAUGACUUGUUUGUUUUAGUGGAUGAGGAAUUGAGGAGGAAUGUGCAGUCAUCUUAGAGUAGUUCUCCCUCUGUCCCAUAAUGUAAGACAUUUUUUGACACUACACUAGUGUUAAAAAAUGUCUUACAUUAUGGGAUGGAGAGAGUAGUAUUUAUAACCGAGUACAAAUACGCUCCUAAGUGGGAAGCCGUUUAGGUUUUGAUCGAUGUGAACGGGUUUGCAAUUUGGAAUAUGACGGGACGCAGGCUCAAAAUUUACUGACGGUUAUAAGUGCGGCACUAUUCUCGGAAGGCAUAACGUGGGCACGUAUGUCUUCUUGGCCGCGUACGUGGCGUUUGCACCAUAGGAUGCACCAUAAUAGGUAAUGUCAACACAUGUCUUGUUCCAACAACCGUGCGUGCUUGUGAUUACCAUCGCGCACACUUCUUUUAAUUAGAAUAUGUGUGCACGUGUAGCGCACACACGUUGAUCUAUCUAUCUGUUUCAGUUUGGUGUGGCUAAUCGCAAACAAUUCAUCCGUGUGAAGUGUAUGCCAUCAAUCGCAGACACUUUGAUCUGGCUGACCCAUUUCUGUUCUGUUGCCUAAUCGCAAACAGUUAAUCCUUCUGAAGAGUAUGCCCUCAAUGGCACGCACCUUUAUCUAGCUACCCGUUUCUAUUGUUCCUCCUCAUCACAAACAGUUCAUCGGAGUAAAUCGUAUGCUGCAUAUCACACACGCCGUCAUGUGGCUUCCCGUUUCUUUUGUUCCGCCUCAUCGCAAACAGUUCAUUGAAAUGAACCAUAUGCCCUGCAUCGCACACGCAACUAAAAUCGGAACUGUGUUUGAUGGCUCCGCCAUCGCAAAUGUUUUGCACCUUUUUUGACGGUUCUUUUACACCACCAUUUGUGAUUAUUGCAUCGCACACAGUUUCGUCGAAGGGUCUCUGAUCGUAGUGUCGCAUUAGCAGCAUCCUGCAGUAGUGACAAAGUAAAUCCAAUCAAUAUGAAUAAACUCCAUCAUUUUAUCCUUAAUGACAACGAUACAAAUACAUGUCAUGUCCCCUUCUGUCACUAGGAUUGAGCAUCACAAGAUCGAACCCAUCACAAAACACCUCUCCCGUUGCAAGAUAAAUCAAUCUAGUUGACCAAACCAAACGGAUAGAUCAGAGAGAAAUACAAAGCUAUAACAAUCAUGCAUAAAAGAGUCCAGAGAAGACUCAAAUAAUAUUCAUGGAUAAUCUGAUCAUCAACCAACAAUUCACCGGAUCCCAACAAACACACCGUAAAAAGGAUUACAUCGAAUAGAUCUCCAAGAACAUGGAGGAGAACAUUGUAUUGAAGAUCAAAGAGAGAGAAAAGAAGUCAUCUAGCUACUAGCUAUGGGCCCGUAGGUCCGUGGUAAAGUACUCACACAUCAUCGAAGGGGCAUCAAGGUUUUUGUAGAAGCCCUCCGUGAUCGAUUCCCCCUCCGGCAGACUACUGGAAAAGGCCUCCAGAUAGGAUCUCGCGAGAACAGAAGCUUACGACUGUGGAAUAAGUGUUUUGGGUGGCUCUCUGUUGGUUUCCCGAUUGUAGAGAAUUUAUAGAUGCGGAAUUAGGUCAAAUGGAGCAAUGAGGGGCCCAUGAGGCACCAGGGCGUGCCUACCGCUUCGCCUUAUGACUUCCUCCCGGAGCUUCUAGUGUCUCUUAUGUCCAGAAAAAAGCGUCAAAAAGUUUUGUGACAUUUGGACUUCAUUUGGUACCGAUAUCCUAGAAAAUCAAAAACAUGCAAAAAAACAGCAACUGGCACUUGGCACUAAGUUAAUAGGUUAGUCCCAAAAAAUGAUAUAUAAUUGUAUAUAAAACAUCCAAGAUUGAUACUAUAAUAGCAUGGAACAAUAAAAAAUUAUAGAUACGUUGGAGACGUAUCGGUACACAAGGCCCUUCCACCUCCCAUGGCCUACUCGUCCUCGGAGGAGUCCGCGACUUGCCCGUCGCUGGUGGACGUGAGGUCCACGAUGGAAAUGGUAGCGUCGGCGUUGUCAUCGUCCCACAGGGCCGCCUGAUAGUUCGGCGGUGGCGCGUAGGAGGCACAACUAGCAUUGUUCUCCUCCGCGGUCGCCUGCAACUAGCGUUGUUCUCCUCCAUGAUCGCAUGUAGCUGCGCCUCUGCGGUGGCCGCUCCUUGGCGGGCGGCGACAUGAGCGUGGAUGAUAUCGUAGAUGGCACGCUGCUCCGCGAUGAAGUUGGGGUUCGCCACGGUCAUGGCCGCCACAGCCUCCUCGAUCUAGCCCACUGCUAGCUAGUGCUGCUCCAAGAGGAACAGGUUGUACCGAUGUUCGUCUUGCGCUUGCUGGAACGCCGACAAAGUUGCUGCUCCAUGGCGGUGUUGUAGUGCGCUUGUGCUUGCUCCAUGGUGAACCCGACAUGCACAGCAGGCGCGGCAGCCGAGGCGGUAUCGUCGGAGCCCGUCUCCAUCGUGGGGUCGUCCUCGUCCUCGAAGACCUCGGGCGAUCCGGUCGGCAAGCCGGCCCUAAUCUGCUUGGCAUGGCAACUCUGCCAGGUGGCAACAAGGGCGGCCAGCGCGUGCUUCAUCUCAGUGGAAAGACUCUCCCACAGAGCUUCGUCGCCUGCAGUCAUGGCAGGUGCAGUGCAAGGGAGGAGGAUGUGGAGCGGCUUGUGUUGUGGAGUGGAUGGACGGGUGUGGCCGCCUUUAAAUAGCGGAUUCCUGCAAGGCCAUGCAUCCGGGUGCAUCAAUGCGCGAUGCCGGAGUGGAUUUCUCGGCCGGCGAGCCUGCUUAAUGGUAGCAUAUGAAAGGACGGAGCAUUCAACGGCCGUGGUAGAUAUCCGUCCUGUCCUAUACAGUCACACGUCUACGGCAUUGAACAGGUGCCGACACCAGAGACGCGUCGCGGGCGGCAUCCUCGGCCGACGCGCCGCUUCAAUGGUCGAGGCAGUGAGAGGUCGCGUCCGUCCUGAAUAAUUUUUAAUGUGGAGCGGUGCGCUCUACAGCGGCAUGAAUGCGGGCAGCUGGCGCCGAAAAGGAACGCACGUAGGGGAGGGAGGAGGGCUUUGGGUGGGCCAGGGCGGCCAGAAGCGGGCUUGGCAGUGGUCUGGAUUCCGGCAAAGCCUCCACGUUUGUCUCCGGUUUGCGGAAAAUACGUCUAGACCACGCUGUGGACCGAUACAUGACCGUGCUGGAUGAAUUUCGUGGUCCGAACCGCUCGUCGUAUGUGGAUGGUUUGCGGGUCGGCAUUGGAGAUGCCCUAACACCGUUUCAAUAUAUUUCAUUUCUGAUAAAUUCGCAGAAAUAAUCUAUCUUUGUUUUGAACUGAUUUAUCUAGCAGUUUGCCGCAAAUAAAAACAAAAAAGCAAGCACACGCAGUUGCACGGGUGAAUGAUCAGUUUUAAAAAUUACUAGUAGUUUGUUUAUCUUUUUAUAAAAGCUUAUUUUCACGUGGUGAUGCCCAGCCCUAUCUUGACCAUGACACCAAACGAGCUCUAUGGAGUUACGAUGUCGCCAAAAUGAGCUCAUCCUGUCAACGUUCCGCGCACAAGUCGCCCCACAGGGUGCCAGGUCACUCUGCAAACCUUGUUAAAACACCAGACCCACGUACACGAUGUUCUCCGGGCAGGAACAGAGCUCCAGCGCAAGGGCAAGGCUUCGCCAUGGCUAGCUACGUUCCUCACAUCUGGCUCCCGCGACGGCCGUGGAGCAGCAGCUGCACCAGUUCAUAUCUCGCGCUUCGAAUUUCUACACGAGAAUCACAGGUACACAUACAUACUGGACUAUAUUCUUUUACCGAAUGCUCUUUUCUGUUCCGUACUUCCGUACAUGUGUUAAUUUUGUAGAGAACUAAGUAGUAGUGGUAUCAGUAUGGCAGUCCGGCUGCAUGGAGUAGUCUCGGAGAUCCUCUUCCCAUUCCUCCGCCCAGCUAGCCGUCACAUGAUUGACCCCUUCCCCCACAGUGCCUGAAAUUCUGACUUGGGGCUGAGAGCAGAUGCUUACGGGGUUAAUUUCUCAGUCUUGCUAUUCGAAAGUGCAUCUUGCCAUUUGAAAGUGCAUCUUGAUCUCAUGUAGUCGACCGCGAUACCAUACGGGUAUCGGCGCAAGAAACUGAAACCGGCACCAUUUCAAAAUUACCUCAUGAGAACCUGAAAAUCAACUAGUAUGAUGCAAAUAGUGAUUAGUGAACUAAGAAUUGCAAAAAAAACCCUGAAAAACUGGCGAUAGAAAAUAGGAGAGAAACCUUAGACAGAAAAGGCGAAGAAAAAAAAUAGAAAGGAUAAAUUGGCGUACUGCACUCGCUCGAGGGGAAGGGACGAUUACAGGUAGUUCAAAGUCUGAGGAACAGUUAUGGAGCCGACUUUGGAAGCUGAAUGUUGGGCCGAAAGUGUGGGUUUUGUGGUGUGGCCACACUGAAGCAUCGACACAUCAAAGAGCCGAGCAUGUGUAGUAUUUGCCUCGCAAUGGAGAGAAAUUUGAUACAUGCACUAGUGUCCUGUGAACACGCUAGCGAUUGUGGACUGGAUCAAAACCGGACUUGAUCAAAACCUUCAUUACAAUUGAAGUUGCCAAGGCUGCAUCUUGUUACUUGGGCCAAGGAUUUUUCUUGUGACUAAAUGUUUUCAAAGGAAGACAGAGGACAUCUUUUGGUAAACAUUUGGUCCUUCAAGUCUCAAAACCGGAUAAGUUUGGUCCAAAACCAGAUUUUGACCAUGUGGACCGGAUUUGACCACCUUGACCGGGUUUGACUGAUGAACAAUAAUUCAAAAAAAAUCAAGAAAAUAUGAAAUUUUGUGGUAACCAAGAUGCUUGGGUGUGCUAGGUGCGUGAAAAUUUGUGUGGUGUUUCGACAUGCGAGGAGCUCGUGAAAAAACUACAAAUUUUGGCUCACAAAAAAACUUUUUUUUGCGAGAGCUCCUCGGAUGUUAUUUGACCACAAAAGUUUACAUGCACCUAGCGCACCCAAGCAUCUUGGUUGUCAAAAAAAUUCGUUUUUUUCAAUUUGUUUGCUAUUUUUUAAAAUUUACUAUUCAUUGGUCAAACCUGGUCAACAUGCUCAAAAUCUGGUUUUGGACCAAACCUAUCCGGUUUUAAGACUUGAAGGACCAAAUGUCUACAAAAAAUCUUGAGGGACCAAGUUUAUACUUUUGAGGAACUUGAGUGACCAAAAACAUACAUUUUCCUUAUUAUUAUGUGAGCUAUCUCAUCUUCUAGGAAUCGUUGGACUCAUAACCAGAAGGCCUUCGAUCCACGAGUGACACUGAAGUGACAUUGGUCCAGAACAGUGUUGCGGCCGCUUGAUUCAGGUUGGGUGAAGAUUAAUACUGAUGGAGCCAUAGUAGCUGAUGAGCGCAAGGAGGAGGUGGAUGGGUUGCUGGUUCACAAAUUUCAUAUCUUUGUACUUGGUUUAACCCUAUAUCGGGGUAACGGAUCCUCUCAUCAUAGAGCGGUAGCUCUCCAGGACAGAGUUUAUGUUUGGCAAGUUGUGGGACUUCACCAAGGUAGUAUAAAUACGAACUAUCUUGAGGUGGUCAGCCUCUGAAAUUCUCGCCAUAGUUCUUGGUCAACUGCGUCUCCUAUAUUCUUAAAAAUUGGGGAGUUUGCUUCUGGUUAUUCUUCAUUUGUUAUUCAAAAUGUCCGUAGGACUGGGGACUACAAAUAAGCCGGGUCAUCUUUUUGUGUUAUGCGCUUGCACCAAACAAUAGGAUGUUGUAUGCAAUGAUACUCGUGCAAGUUGCUCAAGUUUGAUCCUCCCAUUUCAAUUGCGAAGGACUAACUUGUAGACUAUGUUCUUCAUGGUCGUUAUUACGAGCUUUUUUAUUUCUUAGUCCAGUCCUUGCUCUUAUCCUUCUCCUUGAUGACGAUAAUCAUUAUGUUUCUCUUUGUGGUGGCUGGGGACAAUGCAACAUAGAGCAGACCAUGAGAGAACACCAUAUCAAAUAGAUACUUGAGACAAUCAGAAGCUGCUUCCUCUUGAAUUUGAAUGAGAACAUGUCGUCGUUGCAGGUCGGAGAAGUAUCCAAGGAAGGACCCCCCCCCCCCUACCGAUGUGUUGUGCUAGCACAAUUUAUGUGUGAGACAUGUCACUCUAAAAACCCAGACAAUAAACCUCGUGUCAUCACACGGUCCAUCAACUUGAUCGCUCAGUGGUAUAACACGACAAUUUAUCUUCAAAGCACAUGUAAAGGUAGCCUGUUGAGAGUCAACGAGUUCAGGAACUCAAGAGCACAAUACUCGUCCUUCGCACUAUCAAAGUUGUGGUAGAUUACCUCUUCACCCGAAAGCGCUUAAUCAUUCAUAUAUUUAUCUCUUCAAUUGUCAUGCUUCUCUAGCACAUGUAGAUGAUACCAUUUCACAUUAAUUUUUACAUAUUCAACAAGCAAAAGUGCACUAAAAUAACUUUGGGCAACCAAGAAAAAAGUUCACAUAUAUCUCUCAAAUGUGCAAUUUCCUCCGGUUAACAAUUCCAUAUACUUGAAAGAAAGUGAAAACACCCUAUAACAUGAGACAAUUCAACAAUACAAAAUUAAAAUGUGUAUUUGUUAGAGUGUGUGUUAUGGGUACACAUAUGAAAUCUUGAUAUCCUCCUCCUGCUCAGUAUGCUUGUGCAUAGAUUUUGAGUGCUCGUUGUUGCUUGAAGAUUUGUAUGAUUGCUUAAGUGUAAACCCAAUGUCAAGAAAAGAGUCUUGCACAAUGUAUAUUUGAUUUGAUUUCUAUUCUUGCUCCAUACUUUUUGUUAAUAUGUCUACGUGCUUUAUAUUAACCAAUUUGAUUUAAACGUCAUGUUGUGGAUGGUAGUAGUAUGUAUAAGAAACCCUUGAAAAUUGUGUUGAUUCUUACAGUUUUCAAUACAACCUAAGUUGUACGUGAUGCAUAAUGAUUGACAUGUAAACUUGGGAUACUUUUUGAACUUGUAACUUCGAGGGAACAUGAGUAGUAAUAUAAAUCUACUCAUCGGGGUUGCGUUAUUUAGACUUGUUUGUGCAACUUUGCAGGCAAUGAGAUAAACCCGAACACCUUAGCUCUAGACGGUGUCAACGUUAUGGAAGAACGCUUAGCAAAUGAGCAAAGUGCUAUAUGCAACUGGUGAUUGGAACUCGAAGGGAUUCGUUCUCAAGGAAACAAGUAAGUACAUUAUUGAUUGCUUUUCGCUCUACUUACCACUUUGAUUGUUGUCGUGCUCUUAGUUAUCUGAAGUAUAUCUCAUGUUUGCAUUGGGUAUAAAUUGGAUCAUAGCUAAUGAAAUUUCAAAAUGAAGAACAACGAUAUACUGGAAAAUUGGCUACCAAUUGGUUGGUUAUGAACUUCCUUUGCCGGCCUCACAACACUUGUUGAUUUUUGGCAAUUUUUGAACUUGCCAAAUGUUGGCAAGCCAAUUUUGGCUCCUAACCAAGUAUGCUUGAAACCCUGAUGCUGGUGAAGGUGGUGUUUAGUGGCAUCGACUAGGGUGAGGGAGACACGAGCUGCCUUGGGGUAGUGUCGAGUGAGGGGCGGCAUGUGGCGGCACCGAGGUGAGGGAAGGACUAGCAUGGUUUGAAGGUGGGUUUGGACGACAUCGGGGUAGGGGUUGGCGGGUUUUUAUGGAGGACCUGGUGACGAUGAUCUUGUCCACAAGCAACCUAGGUGACAAUGAUCUCAUCUACGAGAAGCCUUUUUUUCCUAGGUCCAACUUGAGUUGUGAGGAAAAAAACUAAAGCUAACUUUGUUAUAAAAAACAGCACGAACAAAACAUAUCCGUGUUAGCGUCCCAGGCCCAGCUCCCAACCUAUGUCCCACAUUCGGGCAUUUCUGAUGCGCAUUGGACAAACCACUAUAAGUGGAUGGUCCAUCACAUCCCAUAAGACUAGCCUAAACUGAGUGCGACACUUUCUCUUUUAAGGUGGCACUAGCCCCUGGGUCAUUUGGAUGUUCGGUGCGCAUCAGGCAUACAACUAUAAGCAGAGAGCUCAACACAACCCAACAGACUAGUCUAAAAAGAGUGUGGCACUCUCACUUAUAAGGUUAUCACAGCCUACCUCGUAACGAACUGCGACUAAAGUCACUAACUGUUGGGGAACGUUGCAGAAAACAAAAAUUUUCCUACUCGUUUCACCAAGAUCAUCUAGGAGUUCAUCUAGCAACGAGUGAUUAGAUGCAUCUACAUACCUUUGUAGAUCGCGAGCGGAAGCGUUCAAAAGAACGGUGAUGAUGUAGUCGUACUCGACGUGAUCCAAAUCACCGAUGACCAGCGCCGAACGGACGGCACCUCCGCGUUCAACACACGUACGGAACAGCCACGUCUCCUCCUUCUUGAUCCAGCAAGGGAGGGAGGAGAGGUUGAGGGAGAUGGCACCAGCAGCAGCACGACGGCGUGGUGUUGAUGGAGCUGCAGUACUCCGGCAGAGCUUCGCUAAGCACUAUGGAGGUUGAGGAGGUGUUGGGGAGGGAGAAGGAGGCAACCAAAGGCCGAGGCGUUCAGGUAUGAAGUCCCUCCUCCCCCCCACUAUAUAUAGGGGUGCCAAGGGGGGGUGGCCGGCCCUAGGAGAUCCAAUCUCCUAGGGGGUGCGGCGGCCUAGGGGGGUUUUCCUCCCCCCCAAGGCACCUAGGAGGUGCCUUACCCUCCUAGGACUCUUGCCCCCCUUGAACCCUAGGCGCAUGGGCCUAUGUGGGGCUGGUGCCCUUGGCCCAUUAGGCCAAGGCGCACCCCCACCAGCCCAUGUGGCCCCCCCGGGACAGGUGGACCCACCCGGUGGACCCCCGGGACCCUUCCGGUGGUCCCGGUACAAUACCGAUAACCCCGAAACUUGUCCCGAUGCCCGAAACAGGACUUCCCAUAUAUAAAUCUUUACCUCCGAACCAUUCCGGAACUCCUCGUGACGUCCGGGAUCUCAUCCGGGACUCCGAACAACAUUCGGGUUACUGCAUAUACAUAUCCCUACAACCCUAGCAUAACUGAACCUUAAGUGUGUAGACCCUACGGGUUCGGGAGACAAGCAGACAUGACCGAGACGACUCUCCGGUCAAUAACCAACAGCGGGAUCUGGAUACCCAUGUUGGCUCCCACAUGCUCCACGAUGAUCUCAUCGGAUGAACCACGAUGUCGAGGAUUCAAUCAACCCCGUACGCUAUUCCCUUUGUCUAUCGAUAUGUUACUUGCCCGAGAUUCGAUCGUCGGUAUCCCAAUACCUCGUUCAAUCUCGUUACCGGCAAGUCACUUUACUCGUACUGUAAUGCAUGAUCCCGUGACCAGACACUUGGUCACUCUGAGCUCAUUAUGAUGAUGCAUUACCGAGUGGGCCCAGUGAUACCUCUCCGUCAUACGGAGUGACAAAUCCCAGUCUUGAUCCAUGUCACCCAACAGACACUUUCGGAGAUACCCGUAGUCUACCUUUAUAGUCACCCAGUUACGUUGUGACGUUUGGCAUACCCAAAGCACUCCUACGGUAUCCGGGAGUUACACGAUCUCAUGGUCUAAGGAAAAGAUACUUGACAUUGGAAAACUCUAGCAAACGAACUAUACGAUCUUGUGCUAUGUUUAGGAUUGGGUCUUGUCCAUCACAUCAUUCUCCCAAUGAUGUGAUCUCGUUAUCAAUGACAUCCAGUGUCCAUAGUCAGGAAACCAUGACUAUCUGUUGAUCAACGAGCUAGUCAACUAGAGGCUCACUAGGGACACGUUGAUGUCUGUUAUUCACACAUGUAUUACGAUUUCCGAAUAACACAAUUAUAGCAUGAAUAAAGACAAUUAUCAUGAACAAGGAAAUAUAAUAAUAAUGCUUUUAUUAUUGCCUCUAGGGCAUAUUUCCAACAGUCUCCCACUUGCACUAGAGUCAAUAAUCUAGUUACAUUGUGAUGAAUCGAACACCCAUGGAAUUCUGGUGUUGAUCAUGUUUUGCUCUAGGGAGAGGUUUAGUCAACGGAUCUGCUAUAUUCAGGUCCGUAUGUACUUUACAAAUCUCUAUGUCUCCAUCUUGAACAUUUUCACGAAUGGAGUUGAAGCGACGCUUGAUGUGCCUUGUCUUCUUGUGAAACCUGGGCUCCUUGGCAAGUGCAAUAGCUCCAGUGUUGUCAUAGAAGAGCUUGAUCGGCCCCGACGCAUUGGGUAUGACUCCUAGGUCGGUGAUGAACUCCUUCACCCAUAUUGCUUCAUGUGCUGCCUCCGAGGCUGCCAUGUACUCCGCUUCACAUGUAGAUCCCGCCACGACGCUCUGCUUGCAACUGCACCAGCUUACUGCCCCACCAUUCAAAAUAUACACGUAUCCGGUUUGUGACUUAGAGUCAUCCAGAUCUGUGUCGAAGCUAGCGUCGACAUAACCUUUUACGACGAGCUCUUCGUCACCUCCAUAAACGAGAAACAUUUCCUUAGUCCUUUUCAGGUACUUCAGGAUAUUCUUGACCGCUGUCCAGUGUUCCUUGCCGGGAUUACUUUGGUACCUUCCUACCAAACUUACGGCAAGGUUUACAUCAGGUCUGGUACACAGCAUGGCAUACAUAAUAGAACCUAUGGCUGAGGCAUAGGGGAUGACACUCAUCUCUUCUAUCUCUGCUGCCGUGGUCGGACAUUGAGCUGAGCUCAAUUUCACACCUUGCAAAACAGGCAAGAACCCUUUCUUGGACUGAUCCAUUUUGAACUUCUUCAAAAUCUUAUCAAGAUAUGUGCUUUGUGAAAGACCUAUGAGGCGUCUUGAUCUAUCCCUAUAGAUCUUGAUGCCUAAUAUAUAAGCAGCUUCUCCAAGGUCCUUCAUUGAAAAACUCUUAUUCAAGUAGGCCUUAAUGCUGUCCAAAAGUUCUAUAUCAUUUCCCAUCAAAAGUAUGUCAUCUACAUAUAGUAUGAGAAAUGCUAUAGAGCUCCCACUCACUUUCUUGUAAACAUAGGCUUCUCCAUAAGUCUGUGUAAACCCAAACGCUUUGAUCAUCUCAUCAAAACGAAUGUUCCAACUCCGAGAUGCUUGCACCAGCCCAUAAAUCGAGCGUUGGAGAUUGCACACCUUGUUAGCAUUUUUAGGAUCGACAAAACCUUCCGGCUGCAUCAUAUACAAUUCUUCCUUAAGGAAACCAUUAAGGAAUGCCGUUUUGACAUCCAUUUGCCAAAUUUCAUAAUCAUAAAAUGCGGCAAUUGCUAACAUGAUUCGGACGGACUUCAGCUUCGCUACCGGUGAGAAAGUCUCAUCGUAGUCAACCCCUUGAACUUGUCGAUAACCCUUAGCGACAAGCCGAGCUUUAUAGAUGGUCACAUUACCAUCCGCGUCUGUCUUCUUCUUAAAGAUCCAUUUCAUUUUCUAUGGCUCUCCGUUCUACGGGCAAGUCAGUCAAAGUCCAUACUUCGUUUUCAUACAUGGAUCCUAUCUCGGAUUUCAUGGCUUCUAGCCAUUUGUCGGAAUCCGGACCCGCCAUCGCUUCUUCAUAGUUCGAAGGUUCACCGUUGUCUAACAACAUGAUUUCCAAGACAGGGUUGCCGUACCACUCUGGUGCGGAACGUGUCCUUGUGGACCUUCGAAUUUCAGUAGGAGUUUGAUCAGAAGUAUCUUGAUCAUUAUCAUUAACUUCCUCUCUAGUCGGUGCAGGCACCUCAGGAACAUUUUCUUGAGUUGCGCCAUUUUCCGGUUCAAGAGGUAAUACUUCAUCAAGCUCUACUUUCCUCCCACUUACUUCUUUCGAGAGAAACUCUUUCUCCAGAAAGGACCCAUUCUUGGCAACAAAGAUCUUGCCUUCGGAUCUGAGGUAGAAGAUAUACCCAACAGUUUCUUUAGGGUAUCCUAUGAAGACACAUUUUUCCGAUUUGGGUUCGAGCUUUUCAGGUUGAAGUUUCCUGACAUAAGCAUCGCAUCCCCAAACUUUUAGAAAUGACAGCUUAGGUUUCUUCCCAAACCAUAAUUCAUAUGGUGUCGUCUCAACGGAUUUCGACGGGGCCCUAUUUAAAGUGAAUGCGGCAGUCUCUAAAGCAUAGCCCCAAAAAGAUAGUGGUAAAUCGGCAAGAGACAUCAUAGAUCGCACCAUAUCUAAUAGAGUGCGAUUACGACGUUCGGACACACCAUUACGCUGAGGUGUUCCAGGCGGCGUGAGUUGUGAAACUAUUCCACAUUUUCUUAAGUGUGUACCAAACUCGUGACUCAAGUAUUCUCCUCCACGAUCUGAUCGUAGAAACUUGAUUUUCCUGUCACGUUGAUUCUCAACUUCACUCUGAAAUUCCUUGAACUUUUCAAAGGUCUCAGACUUGUGUUUCAUUAAGUAGACAUACCCAUAUCUACUCAAGUCAUCAGUGAGGGUGAGAACAUAACGAUAGCCACCGCGAGCCUCAACACUCAUUGGACCGCACACAUCAGUAUGUAUGAUUUCCAAUAAGUUGGUUGCUCUCUCCAUUGUUCCUGAGAAUGGAGUCUUGGUCAUUUUACCCAUGAGGCAUGGUUCGCACGUGUCAAAUGAUUCGUAAUCAAGAGACUCUAAAAGUCCAUCAGCAUGGAGCUUCUUCAUGCGUGGUGUUGUUGGAGCUGCAGUACUCCGGCAGAGCUUCGCUAAGCAAUAAGGAGGUGGAGGAGGUGUUGGGGAGGGAGAAGGAGGCAACCAAAGGCCAAGGACUCAAGGUAUGAAGUCCCUCCUCUCCCCCACUAUAUAUAGGGGUGCCAAGGGGGGGGUGGCCGGCCCUAGGAGAUCCAAUCUCCUAGGGGGUGCGGCGGCCAAGGGGGGUUUCCCUCCCCCCCAAGGCACCUAGGAGGUGCCUUACCCUCCUAGGACUCUUUCCCCCUUAAACCCUAGGCGCAUGGGCCUAUGUGGGGCUGGUGCCCUUGGCCCAAGCAGGCCAAGGCGCACCCCCUACAGCCCAUGUGGCCCCCGGGGAUGGGUGGCCCCACCCGGUGGGCCCCCCGGACCCCUCCUGUGGUCCCGGUACAAUACCGAUAACCCCGAAACUUGUCCCGAUGCCCGAAACAGGACUUCCCAUAUAUAAAUCUUUACCUCCGGACCAUUCCGGAACUCCUCGUGACGUCCGGGAUCUCAUCCGGGACUCCGAACAACAUUCGGGUUACUGCAUAUACAUAUCCCUACAACCCUAGCGUAACUGAACCUUAAGUGUGUAGACCCUACGGGUUCGGGAGACAAGCAGACAUGACCGAGACGACUCUCCGGUCAAUAACCAACAGCGGGAUCUGGAUACCCAUGUUGGCUCCCACAUGCUCCACGAUGAUCUCAUCGGAUGAACCACGAUGUCGAGGAUUCAAUCAACCCCGUACGCUAUUCCCUUUGUCUAUCGAUAUGUUACUUGCCCGAGAUUCGAUCGUCGGUAUCCCAAUACCUCGUUCAAUCUCGUUACCGGCAAGUCACUUUACUCGUACCGUAAUGCAUGAUCCCGUGACCAGACACUUGGUCACUCUGAGAUCAUUAUGAUGAUGCAUUACCGAGUGGGCCCAUUGAUACCUCUCUGUCAUACGGAGUGACAAAUCCCAGUCUUGAUCCAUGUCACCCAACAGACACUUUCGGAGAUACCCGUAGUCUACCUUUAUAGUCACCCAGUUACGUUGUGACGUUUGGCAUACCCAAAGCACUCCUACGGUAUCCGGGAGUUACACGAUCUCAUGGUCUAAGGAAAAGAUACUUUGACAUUGCAAAACUCUAGCAAACGAACUAUACGAUCUUGUGCUAUGUUUAGGAUUGGGUCUCGUCCAUCACAUCAUUCUCCCAAUGAUGUGAUCUCGUUAUCAAUGACAUCCAGUGUCCAUAGUCAGGAAACCAUGACUAUCUGUUGAUCAACGAGCUAGUCAACUAGAGGCUCACUAGGGACAUGUUGGUGUCUGUUAUUCACACAUGCAUUACGAUUUCCAGAUAACACAAUUAUAGCAUGAAUAAAGACAAUUAUCAUGAACAAGGAAAUAUAAUAAUAAUGCUUUUAUUAUUGCCUCUAGGGCAUAUUUCCAACACUAACAACACCCAAUAGCCACUAGCCUAACAAGAGGUCCCCGAACUGAGGAAUAAAGAUACAUACGAGAGGCCAACUUUCCACACUUUUGUUUUAGUUCUUAGUUUAUAGUUUCUAAUAAAGCAUAUCUUUAAAAAAAUUCCAUAGAGUGGGAGGACCGAUGAAAUGGAAAAUAACCACUACAACUCCAACGUGCGAUCACAUUUGGUCUGUCCACGUCCGUUUGGGUCGAAACAGACAGAAAUCACAGUCCAACGCGGCGACCAAACUAACAAGCGUCCAUUUUUCAUCCGCCCGCGACCCAUUUAUGGCCCAAAUUUGGCCAGGGUUUGCGCAGGCGCGGAGGCAUGCGACGUCUGUCCUUGUCCUCUUCCUGGCCCGCCCGUCGGUGGCACGUAUGACAUUCUCCCCUCCCCCUCCAUACCCAACACCAUUCGGCCUCACCGCUGCCACCCACUUCCGGCCGCCGCUCCCAGGCCUCCUCUCACAUCCACCUACUCCCCCACCUCAACGUCGCAUCUGAGGCACAUUCUUGACGCAUUGGUGGCCUCUUCUCGCCGCUGUUGGUGCCAGGGAAGCCAUGGUCGCCAGCACUGACCUCCCCUCCACUUCCACCGGCCUCAGCUCCGCACUCGCCUCCCCUUUGAUAGGUCUGCUGCCUGUACAGUAAAGGCGCGUGGCUUUUCACCGGCGACUACUACAGCACACCUAAAGGUGUUGGGGGCUUUGCCCUCAAGGUACAAUGGCUAGUGGGGAUGAAUUCUUUUUCAACAACUUCAUUUGUGAUUUGGACGAUUUGUCGUUGGAUCAAGAAGAUUUUGUAGUUGCUACUUUGAUCGUCAACGGACACAUUGCUAGGCAGCGACCGAGAUUCAGGGUAUCCAUUUUGGGCCAUGCUCCGACGUUGAAUCAAAAUAGAGAGAUAGUAGACAUUGCCUACUCUUCGCCGACUACUUUCAAUGCACGUCCCCACUCUUCAGUCCUAAGCAUUUCUAGCACCGCUUCCGGAUGGUGACAUGUGUUUAACCGUAUUCGGGAGGGAUGGUGGCGCAUGAUGAUUACUUUAGACGCAAAGAGGAUGCCCUUGGAAUGGUUGGCUUCUCCUCUUAUAUCAGAAUGCACCGCGGUUGUUCGGAUGCUUGCAUAUGGAAUUCACGGUGAUAUUGUUGAUGAGUAUCUCUGCAUAAGCAAGUCCACAUGCCUUGCAUCACUGUACAAGUUCUGCAAGGCUGUGGUAGCAGUGUUUGGCCCGGAGUACUUCAGAGAGCCAAAUGCUAUAGAUACAAGCCAGUUGUUAGGGAUCGGUGUAGAGAGAGGCUUUUCGGGAAUGCUUGGUACCAUAAAUUGUAUGCAUUGGGAGUGGAAGAAUUGUCUGUUUGCUUGACAGGGACAAUAUAAGGGGCACGUGAAAGCUUGCACUUCAUACUUUGAAGUUGUGGCUUCACAAGAUAUCUGAGUUUGGCACUCUUUUUUAGGUAUGAUUGAGUAUCGCAAUGAAAUCAACGUGUUUCAACGCUCUCCGGCAUUUGGAAGGCUUGCAGAAGACAAUUGCCCAGAGGUGAACUUUGAGCUCAAUAAGCACCACUACAACAAAGGAUACUACCUAGUGAAUGAUAUCUAUCUUCAUUGAUCAACUCUUGUGAAGACAAUCUCCAAUCCGAUAGUAGAGAAGAGGUAUAGGUUUGCCUAAGCACAAGAGUUCAUCCAAUUUCAUACAGAAAUACAUGAUUAGGAAACUCACAUCCAACUCCAAAAUGACUUGGUUGAGCACAUGUGGGCUCACCUUGGCAACCAAUAUAUGUAUUGGUUUUUUUCUUUCAAUGUAUUUAUGACAAUUUAAAUUUAGUUGUAAAUUAUGAGUUUUUUAUUUGGUUGUAAAGUAUUUAUUAUUGUCGUGUAAAACUAUGUGAUUUAUUUGGUUGUGCAAUGUUAGUUCAGAUAUAUGCAUGAAAAAAUUGUGCAUAUUUGGCCGCUGGCCGACCGGGCGAAUCAAAUGGGUCGGCGGAUUGAGCGCACUUCCACGAAAACAUAAACCAGGCCGGACGCCGCCUCUUUGACGGACCCAGUGAACAAAAGAGGGACCAAAUUCACAUAAGUUUGAAUUGUCGCGUUGGAGUUAGCCUUAUCUCCCCUUUAUUGACGUGAAGAUGUUUAAUGAUUCACCCAGGCACAUCCUGAUCACACACUUUUUUUGAGCACAUCCUGAGCACACACUUCACCCAGUGCAUCGCGACCACACCUCACCGUCGGCCCAGGCCCAAGCCCAGCCUUUGACAAUCGAUAGGCGGCGGAGGCCGCCAGCAGGCAGGUAGCGGCGUACAUCCACGUCCACGUCGUCAUCCAUCUCUCUCCCUCAACCGUAAUCCCACCUCCCCAACGCCGCGCAUUCAAAUCCUUGAUUUCCCGGCCCCAUCCUCCCGCGUGUGGACCAGGUUUCCUGGCGCGCGAACCGUUGGCCACGAUGGAGCGUCGCGUUAUCGCGAGCCUAUCCGGUGUGGCGCCGGGGGGAUGAGGGCGCCCGGUGCCAGUGGCCGGCAUCCACCGGCCGUGGCGAGCCGCACGCCGCCGCGCGCACCGCACCCGGCCCUGGGGUGUUUGUCCGCACGCACGCGCUCCGCGCACUAUUUGUUGCGCGUAUAAGGAGGGCAGCAGGCACUGCCCAUCUGCACAAUGUCGACCGCCGCGGCUAACUGGUGCUACGCAACCGUAGUCGCGCCCCGUGCCCGCUCCUCCACCAUCGUCGCCAGCCUCGGCACCCCCGCGCCCUCCAACUCCUCCUCCUUCCGCCCCAAGCUCAUCAGGAACACCCCCGUCCAGGCCGCCCCCGUCGCACCCGCAUUGGUACGUACUACGCACGUUCGCAGCUGCAUGCACCAUGCAUAUCGUUUCCUCUAUCCGGCCGGCAGAGCCCUUGUUAAGCUUGGCUAAGUUUGGCACCAUGGCGUGUCCUUUGCUGUUUUGGGAACGACGUACGUGGGUCACUCACGGGUCCCCUUGCUCCACGCCACAUGCCUAGAUCUUCUUCCCACAAUAUGGGAGAACGGCAUGCAAGGUCUAGAGGUAACCAAAAUGCAUGUGAUGGCUCAACCAAAUGCACCUUAUUUUCGACCUCAAAAAACCAAAACGCAUUACUGCUGCACAGUUGACCAGCUCUGCACAUGGGGCUUGCAUGUCGCCAUGAUCCCCUAUACUCUUGCAACCUUUUCUAUUUAUGCGAACGCAAUCAUUGAAUAUUAUAUAUAUGGAUCUAACAGACAAAAGGCAUUGUGUUUUUAGUCCUCUCUGCAUCCACCAUCAACAUGCAUGUCAACAAACUGGAUAGAAUAUAUGUGGGAUGAACAUGAACGGGUUUCCAGAGAGGUGGCCAGCGAUAAUGUUAGUUUAACACAAUAAUGUGCUCUGGGUUGAAAAUAACUCCACAAAGUCUCAAGUGUACAGGACAAAGUUUAUACUAGCGCAUAAACAUGUAGCGGCAGCUUUUCCUUAAAGCAAUAAGGUGGAGUCUAUCGGGCAUUAUUGCUAGGUAAGACUGAAAGGACACCAAUUAAGCUAGGUCUACUCUAUGUUUCUAGCACUCUCUUGGUUCUUGGAGAAAAAUGACCAUACUUUGGCUUUGAUGUUGAGUAGUUUGACUUUGAUCCGCAAAAGCUUGCAGAAAUACUAACGACUAGGUCAUCCACUGCGUCAGCUUCCUAUUCUUUUUUUUUUUUUUGAUAUAAGAAGCUUCCUGUUUUCCUCUUUUUGAGUUUUCAAACACCACCAAGGCAAGUUACUACACUAAAUCCAACUCGAAGGAUAUAAGAAAUCUUCAUUUAUUUCAAUAAAACAAACAGUAAGUGCAGAAAUAUCAAAUAAUCUACAUGAAACACGUUAACUAUGGAGUCGUUAAGGCAGUUGUUACUUUGGCUUAUCUAAGUAAGUAAAGUAAGGUACUCCUAAGCUAGGUCUACUCAAUGUUUCCAUUCUCUUGAUUCUUGGAGAAAGAUGUCCAUCCUUUGUCUUGAUGUUGAGUUGAGUAGUUUGACUUGGGAUAGCAAAAGCUUGCAGAAAUAACGACUAGGUCAUCCACUCCGUCAGCUUCCUAUGUUUCCUCUUUUCGAGUAUUCAAACACCACCUAUGCAAGCUACUACUACACUUAAUCCAACCCGAAUGUUAUAACAAAUCCUCAUAUUUAUAUUAAUAUUUCAUUUGAAGGAAACAAAGAGCCAGUGCAUUACCAAGCUUUUACGUAGGAGAUUGUACAUAAAAACGUGUUAACCAUAUGUAGGAGGAGGCCUGAUAUUUUGUUGGUAUCAACGUCACAACGGUACACGUAGUGAUGUGAUAUCGAUGCAGAGGUUGAAGCUGAUUGCAACCCUCAACCAUGUGUGGUUGUAGUACCAUAUCCAGCUUCUCCAGCUGAGAUGUCAACAAAGAAAGAAUCCUGCAUAUAUGUCGCCCCAAUGUUUUAAUCUUCUCUCGCAAAAAAAUUAAAAAUAAUGUUUUAAUCUUAUUGGCAGUUCAUUCUAAAGAAUGGGCUGAAAUAUUAUUUGGCAUCAUACAUCAUGCUCCAUGCAUGUAAAAAACGAGCAGAAACGCCGUUAAAGAAAAAGAAAGCAAGCAGUUGCCGUUGGACUUGGAUCGGCGACUGCUUUGGGCAGCAGACGCGGGCCGGAAGGAGUCGUGGCGGAGAUUCAGGAGGGCUCGUCGUCGACUGAGGAGGAGGGAGGGAGGGAGGGAGGGAGCAAGGUUCCAAUAAUUCAGGAAGCGGUGGUCUGGGCAGUUGGUACGGGAGGGAUAGAGGCGUCAAUUCAGGGGGCCCCGCAGGUGGAACUCGUGGCCGGGCGGCCCUUCCGCGGCCCCGGCAUCUGGAAUUAGCGUACCCGACGUUGGUUGAGUAGAGAGAGGAGCCCAGCACAUUACUACCAAUUGCCAAUUUUCUUGUUGCCAAUUGUCCUUGGAUCUGGGAGCCGGUGAUUACCCCAGGCCCACCUUCACCCAUGCACCUGACCUGGGCAAGCGCAAGCGCUUCUGGCCUGGGGAUCUGAGAUACUACUGCUGCUCAACUAGGCACUAGGCAGGCAGCACACAAUUGAAGGCAUGUCCAACCUGCAUAUGCUUUGACUUGUGAACUGUGUCCACACCCUAGGCCUAGUGGCAAUUGCAUCACGCGCCAGCUACCGUCUUCCUUGUUUCGUAGUACAGUACUAGCUUUCUCUAGACGCAUUUCCUCGUAUUUAUUUAAUUCCAUGAAUAAUAAGAUUAUAAAGUACUAGUACUCCAAAAGGAUAAAGAUAAGGAUGCCCGGUCACCAUGAAUUCACGGGCUUAAUGAUCUGAUCAAAACAUACCAAAAGAAAGAAAGAGAAAGAGAACCGCUGCCAUUGCGAUGGGCCAUUUGGCCACAAAGCCGGCCAGCCCCUCCUCCUUUGCUGCUAACUUCUUUCGUUGCCUUCUUCUUUCCACGUGCCGUGUUUGCCAGUAAUCCAUCCAUCCAUCCAUCGGGGAGAAGAGAGAAAACCCAAAAGAGUAGAGUCGCGAACGCGAGCGCGAUAGUUGAAGAUGAGCGGCUGCCUGUGCCUCCCCUGCUGCUAUAAGAAGCCCUCCGCCCCCGGUGGGGAGAACACAACUCCCCCAGCAGCAGCGAUAGAUUCUUCCUCCUCGUCACUCCUCCAGAAGCCUACCUACCAUCCACCACCUCCUCCACCCUCCAACAAGGUCCGUCUCCCUCCUCUCCCUUCCUCCCCCUCCCCCACACACCACCCGUAAACUGCUCCAUCCAUCCAUCCAUCUCUUCUUUUUCCGUUUCCUUUUCGGCCGCCCCCCUUUCGAUUCAGUUCACAGCUUGCCCUUUCAGCUUUUCUUUCUUUUUUGUUGCUGUUGUAAAGCAUUUAGUUAUCCUCUUGAAUCGCCUUUGCUUGCGCACGCUCUCCCUUUCCGUGGGCACAGCUCUCUCUCUCUCUCUCUCUCUCUCUCUCGAAAUUCGCAUGAUGCAUAUCGAGUGUUUAUUUGUUUCUUCUUGCUGCGAGUGUGUGGCGACGCGACGGCAACUAAUUUGGUGUUGAUCCUCUCCUCUCCUCCCCUUGCAGAUGGACGCCGCCGUGGAGCGCCUCAAGACCGGGUUCGAGAAGUUCAAGACCGAGGUCUACGAGUAAGUUCACCCCCAAUCCUGUUCCUGUCCUGCCGCUUCGACUGAUGAUGGUUUCUUUGCUUCGAUUUGAGUCUUCUUCUUCUUCUUCUUCUUCUUCUUCUUCUUCUUCUUCUUCUUCUUCUUCUUCUUCUUCAACUGAUUGUCUGUCCGUUUCCGUUUCCGUUUCCUCUUUGCAGCAAGAAGCCCGAUUUCUUCGAGCCCCUCAAGGCCGGCCAGGCGCCCAAGGUAUGUACCGCAUCCAUCAUUUCCUUGAGCCAAUGUUGUCUCUAGCAGCUGGAGUACUCUUGUUAUAUUUGUUCUGUUGUGGUAGCAGAAGAGUGUUUAGUCUUUAGCGCAGCAGCGGAAGAAGUCCUCUGUUCGCAUUAGCCUGCCGUUCGGCGCAUAACCCGGAACACACUCUGUGGGUGCCCAUAGCAUUUCCUGAUGCGGUCAAAGCAGAUGAAACGCUUGUCCUAAUUGCAUGGCCUGGCCGUAAGAGGGGACAGCUUGUCGCCAUUGCCAGCCAGUUGAUACUUGAUACUAGGUUAUGUGUUAACACAACCACUACUGUACUAGCGUACCAAAGAUGGGCGGUAGGCAAUCUCAGGCUGAAACCAGUACAGUUGUGGAUCUCCCUCCGAAUAAACCCCCACCUGUCGUGCACAUCCAGGAAAUCGGAUCGCGCCGCGGUAACGACUCCCAUGUGCACGGCGAUGCCAUGAUAUGAUUUGGCUUAUUGAGAUGUUUUUUUUUUGACCCAAGGCUUAUUGAGAUGUCACCGUCUUUGUGGUCUUGUGGCAUUAGAAUAUGGUUCUUUUUCCCCCUUUUCUGUUGUUGUAGCAGCUAGGAUAAAUUGACGCUCAGAAUCUUGCAAGUACAAGAAGAAGCGUUUUAUUUUCCCUCUCUUCUGGAUUCUCUUCUCCAUUGGCGUGCUUGCCAAUGCAGUCGUUGAGGUUCCCUUGGCUGGCUGUGUUGAAUUUCGAUCCCAGCCGUCUCAGUUGCAGCUAUCCUUUUUUCUUUGAGAAAAAAUGGCCGUCACCCCGCACUAUCGGAGUUGAAGAUGAAGGUCUUUUGAUGAUGUCCAUUUAUAUGGAAGCUUCAUCAUCUUGGCACCGGCCGCGUCGGACCCCACGCGCAAGAACCGUGAGCGGCAAGUCUUGCUCCGUCCUCGCUCGGGGUAUUAUUUAUUGUAAGCAGAGAAGAAGUACUACCUGAGAACAGGGCAUAGCUAGCUGGAGCUGCCAGUGUAUGGCUAUGGCGCUGCCGCUUUGCGUGGUACUCCAUGAUUAAGCAGGCCCUACCCUACCAUGGAGGGGGCUAUCAAUCGGUGGACCACCCAUUACAGUCACAGAUUAAUGCGUGUGUGGACGGAGCCUUACGAAAGAGUUUGGCGCCUACAUACAUAUGUUUGGCCGUAUCCUUUUAGAGAUUGGCAUAUGCUUAUCUUUAUCAGUCAGGUUGGCCUAUGCAAGCACCGAGUGCCUCUCGCAGCAGUACUACCUGACCUGAGAGAUCGGUUAAGGCCCAAAGGCUGCUUUACAGGGAGACGGUAAUACUGUAAUCCACAGCUGAUGAUCCGUGCCACAUCCCACAGCAGUGCUGCUACUGCAGGAAGAAAAGAUCCUACAGUAGUACUUCCGGCGUGUCGCCAUCGGAGGAGCAAGCUGCGGCGCGUGAGCAGUGGGCCUGGCUUCAUUUCUUGCACAAGAAACCGCCGGUGGUCCUGUCUUCUUGAUAACUCACACAAAGGCCUGGCCCAUAAUCAAGUCCUUCGUCGGGUCUGGUCUACUGUCACGCGUCAUAAUCAAGUGUUUAGUCGGUAAUUUGGUUUGGAAAUAGAAGCCUGUGUACUGUCCAGUAGGCGUGCCACGGAGGGAACCUUGCCGCUACUUGCUUGCCUCGCCUUUCUGUCUCCUGUGCCGUACGUCUCCGGUUCCUUCUCGCGAGCCCCUCUGCAUGCCUCCCCUCUGGAUAAAAAGUGGGUAUGCUGGGCCGGAGACAGGUCAAAAGCGGCGGCCUUUAGCGCAAAGCUCUGUGUGUGUGUGUGUGUGUCAGAAGGAAGGAUACGCCUACUCCACCUAUCACUCGUAUUAUCAGCACAUCUGCUUAUAUUUGUUUAUGCGCUGAACAACGCAUCUGCUUAUCACUAACCACUGUGAGUGAAAUGCUCGCUAAUAUAACACCCCACAAAGUGGAUUCAGUGCUUAUUAUGCUUAGUACUACUAGUGGAGCAUCUUUUCUUUUAUUUUCUUUGUUCCUUGAUGAUGAUGAUUGACCUGGUGGUGGUGAUUGGCUGCGCAGUACAUGGUGUUCGCGUGCGCCGACUCCCGUGUGUGCCCCUCGGUCACCCUGGGCCUGGAGCCCGGCGAGGCCUUCACCAUCCGCAACAUCGCCAACAUGGUCCCCUCCUACUGCAAGGUCCCGCCCCGUUUCUCUCUUCCUCUUUUUUUCUUUCUCAUCGCCGAGCUGCAUUUUUGACGAUAUUUCUUUGUCAACUACAGAACAAGUACGCCGGUGUUGGAUCGGCCAUCGAAUACGCCGUCUGUGCUCUCAAGGUCAACUCCCUCCCCCUCUCUCUCUUUCUUUCUCUGGUGCUGUCGCUUCUAAAAUAGGAGUGCCAUAAUGCAUUAUUGCCCUAGUGGACUUUGCUGUCACCCAACUACUAGUAUAAGAACAAGUGAACAUGGGCACUGUCUGUAUUUUAGAGCGUGGCCUGAUAUGGACUUUACUUUCGGCUGCAGGUUGAGGUCAUCGUGGUGAUUGGCCACAGCCGCUGCGGUGGAAUCAAGGCUCUGCUCUCACUCAAGGAUGGCGCAGACGACUCCUUGUAAGUACCACUAGAGUAAAACGGCUCACAUCUUACUCCAGCUAACGCUGCUACCGUCUCUCCGAUCAGUUUCUGACUGUCUAUUUGGUUGGUCUUGGUCAGCCACUUCGUCGAGGACUGGGUCAGGAUCGGCUUCCCGGCCAAGAAGAAGGUGCAGACUGAGUGCGCCUCCAUGCCUUUCGAUGACCAGUGCACCGUCCUCGAAAAGGUUCGCACCAUUGCCCAUCUGCCAUCUCAUACUUUGCUCAUAUAUUACUCCUAUUGGCAGUACUGUAGACUUCGCAAUUCUGCAUGUGGUUUGUCUAACUGAUGAUUGGUACGCUGACCAAGGGAUAUUUCUGAAUUGUUUCCACAGGAGGCAGUGAACGUGUCCCUCCAGAACCUCCUGACCUACCCGUUCGUCAAGGAGGGUGUGUCCAACGGAACCCUCAAGCUGGUCGGCGGUCACUACGACUUCGUCUCCGGCAAGUUCGAGACAUGGGAGCAGUGAAUCUUCCCCAGCGGUUAACUCCUAUAUAUACAUGCGAAUGCAAACGCGUACAUAUAUCAAGAUAUCGUCCGACCGACCGAUGUGAAUCCAAUGCCAUGGAGUGCGUACUCGUUGUUUUCCAGUACUGGAUGCCGGGAUGGCCCGAUGUGAAUUCGCCAUAAGCAAUAGAACCCUUUUUCUUUUACCAUUUUCUGACGAGGAAUUGUACUACCCGUGUGAUGCAUAAUUUGAUCGUCCUGUGAUCAAAAGACAUCAUAUAUAAGUUUAAUAAUAUUUUCAUGAACAGUUUACCCCUUUUAUUACCCUUUGUCCUUGUGGUUUUCCGUCUUGUGUCUGGCACUGCUUAGCUGUUUGCCCAACCCAAGAAACAGUUUGUACUACUGUAUAUCU
rnacentral:lncRNA from 1 species